rnacentral:lncRNA from 1 species
GUGGGUGAGGAUCUUUAGAGGUUUUCAUUUUUGGAAACUUGAAGAGAACCUAGAAGCACUCAUACUAAACAAAGUGGAGGAGGCAAGGAAGGAGGCUAGGCUCAAGGACUUCAAGGAGCAAAGGGCUUGGAGGUGGUCCAUCCUUGGUCUAAGAUCUAGAUCAAGAGGUAUAAAACUACUCCUAAACUUUGUUCUUAUAUAAAUUUGUUUUUGAUGCAUCUUACAUAAACCUAUGCAUCUUGAAGGGGAUUUACAUGACUAGAGCUUUGAUAAUAUAUGUUGACAUGCUUCCGUUGCUUUCGUAUAUAAAUUUUGAAUUGUAUAUGCAUGCUAGUCACUAGAAAUCCCACAUGAAUCUCAUAGAAUUCCCUUCAAGUGGUAUCAGAGCCAAAGGUUUAUGUAUGAUGUGUCCUUUUGGAUUUUAUGCAUAUGGGUUUUAAUUUUAUGUAUGACAUGUUAUUGCUUCAUUCAAAGUGUGUUUAUCUUUUGUUUUUCAAUAGUUGAAAAAUAUGAAUCAAUAGUUGAGAAAGAUAUGUAUGCAAAAGGUGUUUUGUAUGCAUGAAUGAAGAAUGAGUUUAGAACAAAUUUUGGGGUUUUGAGUCAUUGGGAGGGCACGGCAAAAAAGGGGAUUUUGGCUAUGUGUUUGUGUUUUUAUUUUGAAUCACACACACACACUUUAAAGCUAGAAAGUAGAGUUCUUGUCACUUUUGUUUUGGGUUUGAAAAAUCACCAAGAAUAUACAAAUCUUGAAAAUGUGUUCAUGGUUUUGUUCUUGGUGUUCAUGGUUUGGGUUUUGGUGAAAAUGGUUUUAUUUGGAUUUUAUGCAUUUUUUUGUGGUUUUGGAUGAUGUACAUACCAUCCAUAGCCAUCUCAAAAUUUAUUAAAUCCUAGACUUGACUAGGAGAAUUUCCAUCACCUUUUUCUCUAAAGUCUUUAAAGCAAAACCAAGUGACAAGCAAAAUUUAAUUUUUCUACUUUAACUUGGUUUAAUGCAAGAUGGGUGAGACUUCCCAUCUCCCCUUAAUGUGGCCGGCCUCCCCUAGUGGAUUACCCACUUGUGGGGCUAUUUUGUAAUCUUUGAAAAGUUGAUAUUUACUUUCAAGUAUUUACGGUUUGACCCCUAACUUUUCAUAUUUGCAUUUAGGCCCCUACUAUUUUGAAAAGUUAAAAUAUUUGAUUUUAAUUUUAUUAGUUGUUUAAACUCAUAAUAAUAUUAUGCCCAUAUGCACUAAAUCUAAAUGUUUAUGUUGCAUUCCAUAUGAUUAUUUAAUGUGAUUAAGUAGUUAGAAAAAUUGGUGACUAUGGACUUAUGCCUUAAACGAUAAUUGAGCUAUGAGAUAAGGCGCUAAACUCAAAUUGUUUGAACCUUGGGAAUGUGUUUUAAUUACUGUUUCAAUUGGACCUUGUCACCUUGGACAUUAAUCUAUCUCUCCCUCUUAGUAUGUGUAAUUUGUAGGAAUUUGUACAAAUCGGUUUGUAAUUCUUAUUACUUCUUAAUCUCUUUUAGUUAGUUGCUUCCCUCUAGUGCUAGACUAGAGUUUCUUUAACUAUUGGUGAGGAGACAUGAUUAAAAGAGGGUUUUUGACAUGAGAUUAAAGAUUAAAUGGGUCCAACGCCCUAAUUAGCAAUGAAUGAUCGUCUUUCAUUUCUAAUGGCUCAAUGAAAAUGUUUUAAUUGGAUUGAAAAGCACGUAAUUAAAUUGACACAACCUCCCCGAGUUCUUAUUCAACAAUGUUGGCUCGUUGUUGCAAUAACCUAAUAAGUCCAUGGUCAUCCAAGAGCCUAAGAUAACUAUAAAGUCCAAAUUCAAAGGAAUGCAAAAACCGUAGUAGAAGUAGUUACUUCCAAUAUUUGAAAAAAUUCGUUUUUGAUAUUGAUUUGUUUUUCUUAAAACAAAUAGUGGGAGUAUCAUACGCUACUAAACUAUAAUGAAUACAAUUAUUAGUUAUAUAUAUCUCCAAUAUUUUGAAAAAUGUUUUGAUAUUGAUUUGUUUUAUGAAAACGAAUAGUGGGGGAUAUCAUAUGCUACUAAUUUCAUUAACUUUGGACUAGUAGUUAUAAUAGGACAUAAUUUAUUUUAAUAUGUUUAAAUAAAUAAAUUGAUGAGACCUUAAAAUCCCUCAACCAACAUACAAUAUUAAGUUGAAAGCGUAAGAAUGCUUUGAACACUUUUUCGUGGCCUUCCACCGUGGUAGGCUCCAAUCGUUUAUGACUUGUACACCGCCUUCACCGUAUCAUGGGGGAGUGCAAAGUGCAUGCUUAUACUUAGGAGGAGUCUAUAUAAACAUUUGAUGAGGUGAAGGUAGGCAACAAGUGUGGCCAACAUCGUAUCAUCGUGAGGUCAUACUUGAACCCCUAUCUAAACCGGCAUGGUGGGUCGAAACUUAACUAAGAGAAAUGGUGCCAACAUCGUAUCAUCGUGAGGCAUGGUUCUCUAGAGGCCAAAAAGAUGGGUAAUCACAAGAGGUUGUUGUGAAUGGGUAGUAAUACCCUCUCAUUAUUAUUUUUGCUAGCCGACAUCGUAUCAUCGUGAGGUGGGCUUGGUAAUAGUGAGCCUCCCAUAACCCGCUAGGAGCUUUCAUUGAAAUCUCCCGGAUUCCAUCUUGAGGGAUAUGGAAUUUGCCAAAAAUGGUGGGUGGUGUCAUUCGGUUUAAAGACCCGAAUCGUUUGACUUAAUCAACAAUCAAACUAAUUAUUUUAUUGUUUAUGUAUUUAGAUAUGGUUGGAAGCACACUCGCGAAAAUACUCGACAAACAUUGCCUAGAGGGGCACAAUUUCCCAUCAUGGUAUCGUAAUGUCAAGAUUCUCCUAACAUUGGAGAAGAUUGUUUACGUGCUAGACAAGGCCCCACCUCACAUACCUCUCGGCCUUGAGGCCACUGAGGAUGAACGUGCUAAGUAUGACAAGCACGUUGAGGAUGAUACACAAGCCAAGUGCUAUCUGUUGGCUUCCAUGAAUAAGGAGCUACAGAGACAGCACGAGGGCAUGGACAGUGCAUCUUCCAUCAUACUCCAUCUUACGGAGUUAUAUGGUGAAGGGACGCGCAACCGUCGCUUUAGCACUGUUAGUGAACUUGUGAAGACCAAGAUGGUCAAGGGGGCUCCAGUGCAUCAACAUGUACUGAAGAUGAUAGGACUCAUUGAACAAUUGGAGAACCUAGGUACUCCACUUGACGGGGAAUUGGCCCAGGACUUCAUAUUGGCUUCUCUUUCUGAUUCAUUCUCGCAGUUCGUAAUGAACUACAAUAUGAAUAAGAUGGAUAGUACUCUCUCUGAGUUACUAAACAUGGUAGUAACUGCCAAGAAGACUAUGAAGAAAGAGAACGUUGUAGGGACUGCUGCAGUAGCCUACAACAAGCCAUCAUCUUCCAAGGCCAAGCCGCAAGGCAAAGGCAAAGGGAAGGAGAAGAAGUCUCCCACUCCUAAGCCGCAAGGAGGAGUGAGGAAAAAGAAGGAAAAGGAGCCCAAGGGGACUUGCCACCACUGUGGAAAUGAGGGGCAUUGGAAGAGGAAUUGCAGGUUAUACCUAGCAACUCUUAAGGACAAGCUACAAGGUAUGGUUUAUGUUCUUAUCUUCAAUUCUAAUUGUUAGAUCUUCUAAAUAUUUAUAUUUGAUAUAAAGAGCUAAUCACUUAUACAAUUAUAUAUAGGUGGAGGAGCCAAGUAGAAGAGGAACAAGCAAAGAAAAGUGUGGAGAAGGGUUCGGCCACCAUGUUUUUGCUUACUACUUAGGAAGUUUGUUAGGCAUUUAAAGAUAGUCUUUAAACUUUCUUAUUUUGUUAAGAACUUAUUAAGUGGCUUCAUAUGAUGGAAGACCACUAUUAGUGCCUAAAUGUAUGAAGGUAUUUAAUUAGUCUCUAAAUGUAUAGAGCUAAUUCUUUUUGUAUUAAACAUUAUGAAUGUUUGAAUUAUCAUAUUAAUGUAAUGUGAUGAAUGCCUUCUAAUAUAUUAUUUCCUUAAAGUAGUGUUAUGAAUUGAAUAUUGUCUUGUUGUAUCCUAGUUCAGAUACAAGAUUUAUAUCACUUAUUGUAAUGUGAUAACCAAACUUUAGACUUAUCAAUUAUGGAUAGAUCUCACAUGUAGGACAUAGAAGGAUACAAUGAAUCUUUAGAUUUGGUUCCAAUUUUCUACCUAUGAGUUCUAUAAGAAUUGACAAAGAUCUAGAGAUUCCUUUCUUGAAGAAAAGGAAGAUCACAUUAUAAUGAUAUAAGUAAUAAGAAAAACGUUUCUUUAUAUGGUUAUCACUUAAACCACAAUAAUCAAGAUCACUCUUGAUUCAAUUAGUAGUUUUGAACAACUAAUUGGGCAUUCUUUAAAUUGUUUUAAAAUGUCAAUUGUGUUAGUGAUUAAACCAAGAAAGAAGUGUCUAAUCUAUAAAAUGUUUAAAGACUUUAGUCACUUAAUAACGAGACAUUAACUUAGUGAAGAUUGAAACAAACGAGCUUGAAAGUUUUUAAAGAUACUACACAAUGUCCUCUACCCGUAUACUCCACGUUUAUACAUUUUGAAUGUAUGAAGUGAUUUCUCAUUAAAGUCAUGAGAAAUAGUGGGAGGUGUGAAAAUGGAUAUAAACUCAAAUAUGAUUGGUUUAUAGUUAUCUAAAGAAUAAUAGUACUUGACUAUUAUUAAGAGUUUGUAAUUUUAAUUGUUAAAGGACUCAAGCUCUUCAAACGUUAAAAUUCUAUGUUGUGUAACAUUCUAAAGAAUAGUCUUUGAAUGUUGGUUUCGUCAACCUAACAUAAAAUGGUUAUAUGUUGGGAGUUGUCCAUCAUUCUCUUUUAUGAGAACAAGCUAAUAACAAAGCCCAUGGACAAAUUUGAUGAAACAAAAAGGGAAUAGUUUCAAAAUGAGUCACAACAUAUAGUUUAACAACAAGACAAUCCAAAUUCAACAUCUUAUGUAACUAUAACGCUCUAUGUAGUUUUGAUAAAGAAUUAUAUCAACCACCUGGAAGGAAUGGUUGAGUUUCUAUAUCCUUAGUAGGAGCCAUGCUUCCACUAAAGACUUGGAUAAUUCUUAUAUGACUACAUUAAAGGUCUUAGUAUGACUAAAACUUGUAGUAUGGUGUAUGACACACCAUAUAUAAUUUAAAUGAAUAGACUUGACAAAGCAAGUCACACAUUUCAAAAGGAAUUACUUGAGAAGGAAUUCUUUUGUGUAUGAUUCGUUUAAAUAACUUGUGUUAGCUAGAGUUGUUGAUAGUCUCAAAAUAGUUGAGACAUCAUCAAUAAGCUAAUGGAUCUUAAUGAUUGUCAAUAGAUCCAAGACAAGUUAGUGGGAGCAAUAUGCAUUCAAAUCAAGAAAAUAUAAUUGUUAAGUUUUUGAAUGAAUGCUAAGUUACAACAAGGCCAGUGGGAGUGAUGUCAUAAUUUGAGCAACAAGAUAUGAAUAAAGUCUAUUUGAUAGACUUGAUAGAACAUAGAUGUUACUCGAAAAUUGACAAAACAUGACACGGUCAAUUUUGAAGUAUAGACUUGAAAUUGGACUUAUUGAUAUAGCAAGGCUAUCUCAAGGAUGUUAUUUGGGGAAAUUAAAUCUCAAAUGUUGAAGAUUUAAGAAAGCAUUUUCCUAUAUGAUAGAAAAUCACUUUCGUAACCCUUAUAAUGAAUGUGUCACAAAAUCACAAAAGGGACACAUGUAUGGACUUGUGAGUAGAUAUCCAAAAGUGAAGAACCACAGGGGUUGUCACUUUAAGAUAUUACUAUAUCCCAGGAUCAGAACCAAAGCAACUGAUAGAGUAUUAUUGCCUUUAAGAAAGGAACAUCAGAGUGGGACUCUGGAAGCGUGCAUUCACGUAGGUUAUAAACCAAAGUGAAAAUAAGCCAUUUUAACAAAUGGAGCUUCAUAAUGGAUGAAGUACUAAUCAUAUGAAUGUAUUGUAAGUAUUGUACUACAAUGGUCUCAAGGUUGGAGCAAAGUUUGUAUAAAGUAUACAAACAAAAUAUAUGACGAUAUAUUGUUUUAGAAACUGCUUCAAAAGGUGCUUUGAAUGGAAGGGGUUCUUUUAGAACCAAUGAUUGAAUCCAAACCAUAAGGUCGUUAGUAGGACACUACGACGUAAUGGGGCGAUAGCUCAAGCCAUGGAAUCAAGGUCUCAUCAAAGUAUUCGAACACAAGAAAGAGACAUCAUCAAAUGUUUUGGAAACAUUUGAUAAGUGAAUCCCUUUUAAAUAAAAAGGAUUAAUACAUAACCAAGUUAACCUACGAGCAUAAGCUCUCUCAACUAGCAUGUAUAAGAUACACUAGUGAUUGACUUUAAUGCAAGUGGGAGAUUGUUGGAAAUAUGCCCUGAAAGUCAAUCUUUGGAAGAAACCUUUCAAGACAAUAAAUGGAUGUAUAGAUGACUCUUAUACAUCAAAUGGCAAAGAUACUAUUUAGGACUAUCUCUAUAAACGAUAUAUGUCCUAAAUGGUGAAUCCACAAUGGAUCGAUUAAAGAAGUAAUCUAAUGAAGUUAGACUACAGAGACCUUCUUCACAUAACCAUCAUGUCCAAAAGGUUCCUGGUCAUAGGAUUGUCGGAGGGAUACUGACAAUGCAUAGACCGGUACAUACUAUGUCCGCUUCAAUUAGAAGGAUGGAAAGUCUCAUCCCAUUCGUGUAGUGACACUAAGACAAGUAUGUAGGUGCUCAUUAAGGGAAUGAGUUCACUGAACACAAUCGAACGAGAGUACUUGCAUGGAGGUCUACUCACAUGUCAAGCAAGUAACUCUAAUAGUUGGAAUAAUGUAAGUAGUCCUUUGACCUGAGGCAUCAUCGUUGUCUUGUGGUUAAGUACUUGAUCUUUGAUUAUGUCAAAGUCACUCCAUCCGUGGGUGUCCACGGCAUAGUCGGGGUUAAGCCACUUAGUCAUGAAGGCAAGUGAAUGCGCAACAAGGAAUCUCUAAUCCUCGUUAAGAGAGGAUGAAUACUCUAAGAUAUAAUUCUGGAAUCUUCAGCCGAAGUAUCGAGCGUUAUAAAGGAAAGCGUUCCUAUACGACUCAAUUGAAUCAUAUAAUAAGGAAUAAUCACAUUAGGGGGUUGACAUAAUAUAUCCAUACCCUAGUGAUGUGAUUGAGAGUAUUGUUUUAGAGAAGGAUCGAAUUGCAUUGUAAUUCCAACUGAAUAGGUUCUCCGAACAACUUCUACAUUAGCUUGGGUAGCCAUGAUAUAUGGUUAGAUGUCACUCAUGGCUUGUGAGUUCUUCUAGAUGAUUAAAUGUAGUCGUCAAAGAAGAAGGUGAAUUAAAAGUAAGUUUUAAUUCACUAAGUGAUUGGAUUAAAUAUAAUCAAUUGGAUUGGUGCCAAUCACCUCACUGCCUUGCUAUUAGAACCUAAAACGAUUGUUCACCAAUACAAUCUUGUAGUGAGUAACUAAUGGAUGAUGGAAAUAAUUAAUUGGAUUAAUUAAGUGUUGUGAUUAAUUAGAAAGUCUAAAGAAAUCAUAAAAGCGAUAUAAGAUAGUUUUGGGCUUAAAGAAAACGGGUUACCCAUUGGGCUUUUAUUCAAGCAUUGGAUGACAAAUAAAUCAAAGGAGGGAGAGAAAGGUCAAAUGUUGACUUGUUUCUUUUUGGCUAUAAAAGGAACUUUAUAGCAAAUGUUUCAUUUUGGUUUUUGAAGUGUUAAAAGAACAAAAGAGAAAAAGAAAAAUAUCUCUCUAACACUCAAAGGGCCGGCCACCAUAGGGGGUUUUUAGCUAAUCAUCUUUUCACCCCUUUGGUUAUUCCUUCAUCCUUCUCACUACACUAGUGGGUGAGGAUCUUUAGAGGUUUUCAAUUUUGGAAACUUGAAGAGAACCUAGGAGCACUCAUACUAAACAAAGUGGAGGAGGCAAGGAAGGAGGCUAGGCUCAAGGACUUCAAGGAGCAAAGGGCUUGGAGGUGGUCCAUCCUUGGUCUAAGAUCUAGAUCAAGAGGUAUAAAACUACUCCUAAACUUUGUUCUUAUAUAAAUUUGUUUUUGAUGCAUCUUACAUAAACCUAUGCAUCUUGAAGGGGAUUUACAUGACUAGAGCUUUGAUAAUAUAUGUUGACAUGCUUCCGUUGCUUUCGUAUAUAAAUUUUGAAUUGUAUAUGCAUGCUAGUCAAUAGAAAUCCCACAUGAAUCUCAUAGAAUUCCCUUCAAGUAGGUCUUAGGUGAGUUUGCACAUAAAUUUUUCCUUAUUAUUUCAACAUUUAGACAAAAUCAGCAUGUUUGUUUAUUUUGAAAAAUGAAAAGUAAAAGAAGAAAAUACUGGAAGUAAAAUGAAAGGAAGAGAACUAAAGAGGGAAUGGCUUGGAGUCUUGGAACAACGAAAAUCAAAUGGCACAAAGGUGGUGUUAUCCAAAACCUAUCUUUAUUUCUCAUACACCUUUAUAAAUUUACAGCCAUUGAAUUGAAUGAAUUGAAGAAGAUCAAUUGACAAAAAUUAACAAGGAUGUGGGAGGUAAAGAAUGGUGUGUAAGUAGCACCACCAUAUGCCUUUGAGGAACUCUGCAUGAUUCAAAUCAAAGGCUUGUACAAGGGAGGUCUUCAUCCACGAGCAAAUUUGGUACGUGUAUCACCCCUUCCUUGGCUAAGAAGACACCAAAUGUGUAUCUCAGAACAUCAAUCAAGAUCACUCUAUGUCUACAAGAUCUAUUUUUCCGUUACUCCAAACAUAGGUCAAGAAAAAAAGCAACCAAUUAGAUCUAAUUCUUGUCACAAUUUGAUCUAAUUCUACCCUCACUUUCAUUGACCAACAAAGAACAGACUAUUGGUAUAAAUUAAAGUAUAUGAUCAACAUUUAUAUUUUGGGAAAUCUAUUAAUAUUGGGCACUUUUAGGCCCACACAAUUGUGCAAGUCGGAAAAGAAGCCACAAAAAGUCAAAUGUAAAAUCAAAGUCCAAGGGAGACCAAGAAGCCCAAGGUUCAAGGAGCUUAAAAGAAGAUACUCCCGAGGGCUAAAGCCAACAACUGACUAGCUUAGCCCGACUGAGUUAUGUAAAGUGCUUAUUAUUUACGUUCUAGUACUACAUCACGUGAAGCUGACGCUACGCGCAUCACAUACGAAUCAAAACAACAAACCUAGAGACAGGCUGACACCUAACUCUAGAUCCAAAGUAAACGUAAACGAUGCAUAUAAGCAUACACGUCAAGCUAGUCCUUGGCUUAGGACAUUACAACUAACUAAUAAACAACUUGCACACAUGUAACAAUGAGCAGAUAUAAUGAAUAAAGAUGUCAUGCCAUAUUUUAUACUCGCAGUUAAUAAAAAUAUAAAGUGUAGAAAAUCUAAUAAGAAGCUAACCAUGGCAUGUUACAUCAAUUAUGUAAAUGAAUAGUUAUGUGAAAAAAAAAAUCACACACACACACACACACACACAUAUAUAUAUAACCAAAAGACCCACCCACUCACUGGUAUGUUGCAAGGUCGUAGUCGCUUUACCUAUUAUGCCCACGGUACUCCUCUAGGUGGUCCUCUCCUAUACGGGAAAUUACUGUACUAAUAAUUAAACAAAUAAUAAUUGAUGCAAAAGACCUAAUUUCCCUUUAGUUUGCUCAAAAAAUGGAAUUUGGAGACAAUUGGCAUUCAAUUUGGAAAAACAAAGUGCGGAAACGGAAUUAGCGCGUCAAAAUACCAUAGGAAGGGUCCCAGACAAUUUUUCAAAAAGUCAACUUUGAUCAACUAACUAUCAACAGUUAACUUUAACAGAAUAUUCUAAGGGGAAUAUUCCCUCAAAUUUCAGAAUUGGAUUUGGGCUAGAACAAAGGCCCAAAGGUUUGGGCUCAUGCCAUUUUUUAAAAAAGGAUCUGGGCCGGUUUCCCAAAUCUGGGUCGGCUUUGGCCCACUGAUUCAAGUAUGGGCUUGGGUCGGUUCAGGUUUGGGCCCUUUUUUUCUCCCUGCUACAGAUUUUUGUCGGAAAAUCUGGGGAGGGUUCAAACCAUCCGUUCAGAGCCAUUUCACAACCAAAAUUCGCCCAUAAUAUAUAAAAAUGAAGCUUAGGACAAGAGGACUAAGAUUACUAUUUCAAGGCCAAAAGUUGGUCGGAGAUCAUCGAAAAAUGGCCUGAAAGUGGCGGCCCGAGUUGGAGUUCUCCGUUUUUGUCUGUUCGAAGUGGGUUUGGGCAUGCAAGCUCAAACUCGUGGCCUAAGGGUAGUAGGAAGUCAUCCUACACCUUCAAACUCAACCACAACAACAAGGUUUCAUUGGGUUUAACUUGGAAAACCUACAACUUGCCGGAAAACAUGGUGGGUUAGGAACCAUACUUCGAAACAUGUAGAAACUUGUAUGUAUGCUAGUAAACUACACAAAAAAACUCAAGGGAGAGCUUGAGGGUGGAAAUCUUGAGCUUACCUUGGUAGGAUAAGUUUCCAUUCGUCGGAGUUCGUCAAACGACAAAACGGAACCUUGUUUUUGUUCGAGUGUGGCACCAUCGUGGAGUUGCAGAGGGUCCCAGAUAAAUUUUGGGAGAAUUUGGAGGUGUUGGUGGAGCUUUAGAGUGAUGGUGGAUGGUUGGUGCGUGUGUCCGAGAAGGAGAAGAUGAAGAUAGAGUGACGGGAAAUGAGAGAGAGAGAGAGAGAGAGAGAGAGAGAGAGAGAGAGAGAGAGAGAGAGAGAAGAGGAACAGGCUAGAAAAAGAAAGAGAGAGUGAGAGGGAAAAGGAAUAGAGAGAGGGAAAAGGAAAAGAGAGAGAGAGAGAGAGAGAGAGAGAGAGAGAGAGAGAAGAGGAAUCGGCUAGAAAAAAGAAAGAGAGAGUGAGAGGGAAAAGGAAUAAAGAGAGCGAAAAGGAAAAGAGAGAGAGAGAAUGUGUGUGACCGGCUAAAAAGGAAAAGAAAGAGUGAGUGAUGUGAGAGAAUUGAUGGAAUGAAAUAAGGGGGUUUUUAAAGCCCAAACAAAAUAAUUUUUUUGUUUCCACUUGCACAUGCACAGUCUACACAAAGCCUAUUUAAAGCUGUUUUCAAAUUUCCCACACCAGACCAAGGCAGUGGUACACACUGCACGAGGAUGGUUUUUAAAGUUUGAACUUAUUUCAGGUGAAUUUACAUUGUUUUGAACAUAUCUUGGUCGUUAUAACUCCGAAUUGAAUUCAGUUUGCGAUCAUAUGUUUGUAAAAAUAAGUAUUGUUAAGAAAUAGUAGAAUAAGAGUGGGAAAGUGAAUAGAAAAUUAAGGUCCAUGUGGACGGCUUAUGUGGCAUCUCAGAGGUAAUUUAGAAAAUUCAUUGAUACCGGGAAUAAAAUACAUUAAGUGUCGGGACAGGAUGUCACACAACGGUCAAAAUUUAGGUUAACAUAACUCUGAUCCGGAGGAUGCCCUUUAAUAAUCAUAGAAGUAUCAUCAGUAUUCCUUUCUCAAACCUUUACAAUUGGCUUUAAGAUAUCACUCACCAAUAGAUAUAACCAAUAACUUAGAUCUCGCUGGGAUGGGCAUCAUUUCUGAACACCAUAUUAUUAUGGUCAUUCCAAAUUUGCCAACAAAUGAGCAAACACAAGCUUAAACCACUAAGAACUUCCUUAUCAACAUGCUUUAAAGAAUUUAGCCAGUAUACUUCAGAGUGAAAGUUAACAUUAGUGAAAUUGCCCAACUUAAUUGAACAAAGGUCCCAAAUCAAUUGAGUGACACCACAAUUAAAGAAUAAAUGCACGUGGCCCUCGUAUGUUGAAUUAGAAAAGGGACACACCUUAUCACUAUUAUUCACAAUAUGGCUUAAUCUUUUCUUAGUCUGAAGUCUUUCAUGAAUGAAAAACUAUGCAAGCUUCUUAAUUUUAGGAGGAAUAUUAAGUUUCCACAUCUUAUUAAUUAACUUAUGCUCUGUAGAUUGAGUCAACGUCCCUUUUUGAAUCCAAGUAACUGAUUUAAUAGAGAACUUACCAUUUGUAUUUGGACCCCAAAGUAGCACAUCUUUGGAAUCUUGCAAGGGAAUUAUGAUAAUACAUAUUGUUGGUACCACACAUAUUGGGCCUCAGACUUUGAUACAUUAGGCCUCAUUACCCAGCCCAUAUGAUUAUGUAAAAGGAGGAGCCCCUUAUUCUAUAAAAGGGGACUCCUCCCCCCCUUACAAAGGGGACUCAGAGAACCCAACAGAGGGCAAUACCCUCACAAACUCUCCCAAACUCUCUCUUUCUCUGGGGGACUCCCCCUCACCUUUGUCAUAUAUACAGUUAGAGAGAAAUACAAUCAACAUUAGUAUGGACGUAGCCCAAACAUUGGGGUGAACCACGAUACAUCUUGUGUUAUUUACUUUCUUGCAGAUUCACAGUCGGAUUAACGUUGUUCCAAGACCUCCGGUUUUGUGCAUCAACAUUUGGCGCCGUCUGUGGGAAACGACACGAAAAGCUAUGUCGGUUCUUUCAUUUUUUUCACCUCCACCGUGAAUCUGCAGAAACCAAGAACCCAAAAGUUUUCUAGAAAAUUCAACUUUUCAAUCUUUUCAAUUAACGUCCUUUCAUUUUGGGGGAUCAGCUCUUUAUUAUAUCUCAGCAUUUUCCAAUUUAAUCCCACAAUUCAAAAAACUUGGUCUGAAAAUUUCUUCAAUUGGGUUGCUGAACAACAAUAACCUCUGUGACCAUACUGUCGGUGCUUACAUUCCCCAAAGACGACACAAUCAGCCUCUCCUCCGAGCUCAGCGGUAACACCAAGAAGGUCGUACUCUUCUGGAUGCACGAACCCCCAACCCGCGAUGCCACUAUCAUCUGCCAGGCACUGACCACAGAAGGCGUAUGGACCUUAGAGCAGCCACCGAAGUCAUCUGCUUAAGAACCUCAUCUCAGAUCUUCCACUUCAAGAACCCUAUCUUAACUUUAGCUAUGGAAAACUCGUCAGGCAUAACGCUGACCAGAUUCGUGACUCGCUCAAGCAGAUGAGCUAGCUCGGUUCCACCAGCCGCGGGUCGUCGUCGUUCCAAUUCCAGAUAAGCCUCCCAGAUUUGCCCAUCAGUCACUGCAAAGCCAAAAAAACUCGGCCUCUCUCUCUCUCUAUAAUUUCAUCAUCGUCGUCUUCUCCACUAAGCUGCAUCCGUUCCCUGCAAAAAACGUUCGCCAUAUCCAUCCGCUUGCCAUCACAUUCCUUCUGUGCCAGAGACAGGAGAUAGUUGUUUACAGUACCACAACCGACCAUCUUCCCACUAACGUGCAUCUUUGAGGGAUUUAUUUUCACAAGUGCGGAAAGAGUUUCUAAUGCAGCUAUAAAGACCUUGAGAUCCGUUGAUGCAAGCAAGUCAGGAUCCAUUGAUGCAAGCAAGAGCUCGAAAUGCUUUAAGCCAUCAAAUGAACUCUUGUUAUUGCAGUUUUCUAAAAUUGUUUGCAUCACUCUCGAAAUUUGUAGCACUGCAUGCUUUGGAAAUGGACUAUCAUCUUCUAAGAUUUUAUCCGACAACAAUAGAUCAUUUCUACAAGACAAGUAUGUCUUGAAAUAUGUAUCAAAAUGCAGAAAAAAAAACGGCCUUCAAUGGUUACUGGCAACAUAUACUAUUCAUUUCGUGCUCUGGUGAAAGGAAUGGCUUUGAAUAAAGGGUUUCCUCUUAGCCCAAGGCAAGAGAAGAGAAUAAAAUCUAAGAGAUUGAGAUUUGACUGGGUAAGACCAUAAGUGGGUAGGUGCACAUGCAUGACAGCAUGACAGCAGCGCAGAGACAGUAGGCGCAGUACGCACCAACAAUCUGCAAUUGUCGACCACCAACAUGAAAAAAGACAACAGAAUAAAUCAUUUAUUCACAGACGGCACACGAAAUUAUUGAGCAACUAGAUCCACUGAUCAAUAUUGUUGCUGAUUAAAGAAGUCUACCAACUUAUAGAUUGAUGAGCCACGUGCUCAUUGUAAUCUCUUGUUUGACCGGACACCCACUUGCUCGGACAUUUACUUAUUGGGACACCUAUGUGCCCGGACCCAACUCGAUGACCCUACAGAUAGCCCCAACUCGAUGACCCUAAGUAUGGCCCCUACUCAAAGACCCGACUUGCGGACCCAAUCUGCGGAUCUGACACAUAGACCCAAUAUGCAAACUCGACAAGCGGAUCCGAGUCAUGUUGAGAAUCAACUCAUACUGAGUGCAUGUCAACAUAAAGUAGAUACUUGCAAUGAGGAAUAGCACGAGCUGAGCCACCACACAGCGAGCAUAGCCUCUAGCCGAGCCGCCUCGCAACGAGCAUAGCCUCAAGCCGAGCAAACAUCUCGCCGCGAGCAUAGCCUCUACCCGAGCAGCCUCGCAACGAGCAUCGCCUCCAACUGAGCAGUCUUGUAACGUGUGAUACCUCUAGCCGAGUAUUGCUUUAUGUUGAGCAUUGCCUUGGGUUGAGUACUGGUUCAAGACAUCUAGCCACUUCGGCCCCUACAUGGAUUGGAUUUGAACUCUUCAGCCAAAAGACUCUUUUGACUGAAGACUUGGGGGACUACUAUUGGUAACACACAUAUUGGGCCUCAGACUUUGAUACAUUGGGCCUCAUUACCCAGCCUAUAUGAUUAUGUAAAAGGAUGAGCCCCUUAUUCUAUAAAAGGGGACUCCUUCCCCUCACAAAGAGGACUCGGGGAACCCAACAGAGGGCAAUACCCUCACAAACUCUCCCAAACUCUCUCUUUCUCUGGGGGACUCCCCCUCACCUUUGUAACCCAUACAUACAGUUAGAGAGAAAUACAAUCAACAUCAGUGUGGAUGUAGCUCAAACAUUAGGGGUGAACCACGAUACAUCUUGUGUUAUUUACUUUCUUGCAGAUUCACGGUCGGAUUAACGUUGUUCCAAGACCUCCGGUUUUGUGCAUCAACACAUAUUUUCUUCACAAUUUCAAUAUUACUAACCAUUUGUGGUAGCUUUCUCCUAUUCCAACAAAAAUUAUCAAUAAAGUCACUAACUUUUAAGUCCUAAUUAAUAUUUUGAUUGUCAAUAUUGGGUAAGAGAUGGAACAACGAGUAAGGAAAACCUAAUUGUGAGACCAAAACAAAAUGUCCUUAUGUCCAUCUCAUACCCUUAAGAAUAACAUCCCUACUUUUCAAAAUACACUUCCCAUCAAAAGAAUGAUUUUGUCUAAUGUUCUUAUCUAGAAAAUGUUCCUUUCUAAGAUACUUACUUUUUACUAACUUCACCCACCAGUUAUCCUCCUUAGUCAUCACCUUCCAACCUAAUUUAGUGAGACAAGAGUUAUUAAAAUGAUCUAGUCUUCUAACUCCUAGACCGUCCACUUUCUUAGGAGCACAAACCGAAUCCCAAGCCACUGGAAAAAAUUUCCUGUCCUUACCCCAGAAAAAAUCGCUACACUCUUUAUUGAGCUUAUUGACAAUCUUGUUAGGAAACUUAAAGCAUGACAUAACAUGAUUGGGCAUACAAAUUAGAGUUAAUUAAAAUAAGCCUCCCUGCUCUCAAAAGAGUGCUUGCUUCCAACCAACUAAUUUUUGCUCGACCCUCUUAUGUAACUCAUUUCCAUUAACUUGGUCUUUCCAAAAAACAAUAUUAUGGAUACCUAGAUACUUACCAAUAGUAGUUUUAUGUUGAGUUUGCAAUAUAUUAACAAUAUCAAUUCUAAUUGGAAGAGGUAGUAUUCUUGGAAAAAUACAAGGACAACUUAUGAAAAUUAUUUGUUGACCUACCAUUUUAGAAAACAUAUUAAGGAUUUGAAGAAUAUUCCUCGCACCCCUUGGCGUGACCAUAGUAAACCGGAGACAAUCAUCAGCAAACACUAGAUUUGAGAUUUUAAAUCCUCUAGGUGAGGAUAAAUUACCAAUGUUGCUUCGGAUUAUUUGUUUGGGUAUUGAUGUGUCUAAUUAAAGGUUCCAUACAAAUGGUAAAAAUAUAAGAGGACACGGGUCUUGUAACAUCCCACUUCGCCCAGAGGAGUGAAUCAUGUAAGCCUUAUAUGUAUAUUCCCAUUUCUACCGAGUACAAGGCCUUUUGGGAGCUCACUAGCUUCAGGUUCCAUCGAAACUCCGAAGUUAAGCGAGUUCGCGCGAGAGCAAUCCCAUGAUGGGUGACCCAUUGAGAAGUUCUCGUGUGAGUUUCUAGAAACAAAAUCGUGAGGGCGUGGUUGGGGCCCAAAGCGGACAAUAUCAUGUUACGGCAGAGUCGAGCCCGGGAUAUGGUGAGGGCUCGGGCCGGGAUGUGAUAGGUCCCCUUGUCUAGUUCCCCGCUUCGGAUAAAAAUAACAAUGAGAUCGCCCAUUUAUAAGCAUAGAGAAGGAAGGAAAAGUAAUACAUUUCAUAACCAACUCAACCCAACGACUAUCAAAACCAAAUCUAAGAAGAACAUACUGAAUGUAAUCCCAGCUUAAGAAAUCAUGUCUUUUCCAUAUCCAGUUUGAUACCCAUAGCUCCAGUUGUUUCUUUCAUCCUAUUGAAACCUUCUAACAUUUCGUGAGCAAUAAGAAUAUUAUUCUGAAUGGCUCUUCCCAAAGCAAAAACACCCUGAUUUGGAGAGAUGCAAAGAUCUAACAGAGGUUUUAGUCGCUUAAUGAUGAUCUUUGUGAUAAUUUUAUAACUAACAUUACAAACUAAUAGGCCUAUAGUUAUUAAUAGUUUCCAAAUUAUCUAUUUUAGGAACUAAAGCGAUGUUAAUAUGAUUUAUGAGCAUUAAGUUGGAUCCAUUCUGAAGAAAAAAAAAAUCUUCAACCAAAUAGGAAACAGAGUCCCUAAUUUGGUCUCAGCAACCAUGAAAAAAGGCCAUACUCAAACCAUCAGGAUCUGAAGCCUUAAGAGCUCCACUACUACUCACACCAUCCCAAAUUUCCACAUCUGUAAGAAUGGAUAACAAUCCUAAAUUUCCUCAUCUGUAAGAAUUGAUAACAAACUUUCAUUAUGAUAAUUAGAAAUACAAGGUUGAAUGAUAUCCACUAAAUUACUUAGGUCAGCACCCGAGGGAGGUCUAUCACAAGAAAACCGCUUUUUAAAAUUGUGCACAAAAACCUGUCAAGGCCCUAACCAACGGACCACCAAAACUCAUUCUCAUCUUUGAUUUUUGUAAAAUUAUUCAUUUUCUUACGAAUAUUAGCCAUAGCUUGAAGAAUUUAGUAUUCUUAUCCCUAAAUUGCAACCAAUUAGCUUUAGCUCUCUGAGCCCACAUAAAGUAACACAUGCUUCAAUUCAUCUCGAAGAGAUUUUUCUUUCAUCAAACCAACAAAGUUGUUACUCAUAAUUUGCUUCCCAAGCAUCAAUUUCAUUUAACAAUUCUUUCUUUUUCUCCUUUAAAUUGCCAAAAGUAUCCUUAUUCCAUUUAUAAACUAGAAAUUUAAACUUACCAACACACAUUCUGAAUUUAUUGAUUAAUAUUAGGGUCACAAGGCCAAGAAUUUUGCACAAACAUUUUAAACUAAGGAUGAUUAAGCCUCAUAGCCUCAAAUUUAAAUGAGACAUAGUUAUUAUUCUCCACACUAGAAUUUAGAGAUAAUAAAAUAGGUUUAUGAUCAAAACCAAAAAUAGGAUAGUUAUGCAAAUGAUAUUCUGGGAAUAUAUUUAACCAUAAAGGGUUAGCCACCACCCUAUCCAAUCUCUGAAAAACAAAUGUAUGAUCCGUAUGACAAUUAGUCCAAGUAAAAGGAACUCCAAACGCAUUUAAAGAUAAAAGAUUGCCACGAUUAAGAAAAUUGAUAAAAUUGUUGGGUUUGAUUACCUCCAAGCCCACCAAGGAUUUAAAGAAGUUGUCAUAUGUCAAAAAUAGUCUCUAUCUUUUUAACAGUGUCUCCAUCUUUGACGGCCAAACGUCACAACCCCUUUUACAGAAGUAGUCAUAUAUGUAAAGGGAUCCUCUCUGGAUCCCUUCCAUCGAAUCCACCAAUUCAGGCCCUGAAAAUUUGAUCCAACGGUUAAAAACAGGGGGUCCCUUUAAAAAUUAUAACAACAUUAGCCAUUGGAUCAAAUUUCAAGGGCCUAGAUUGGUGGAUUUGAUAGAUUUGGUGGAAGGAAUCCGGAGAGGAUCCCUUUCCGUCAUAUAUAUGUUGAUGUUUCUUCUGUUUAUCUUGCAUUUGAUUGCAUGGUUUUGGUGAUGUUUCUUGUAUAAAUUUGGUUUUUGGAAUGAUGGAUGGAAAAUAGCGAGGCAACCACAAAAAUUCAUGAAACUUCAUUCCGUUUAAACAUCAUUCCUCCCCUUGUUAAAUGUUUUAAUUAGACAGGUGAUGAUUCUCCAAGGGUGAGUUCGGUUUCAAUUGGUUAGGUUUUUUUCCAAAACCGAAACCAAAUCGAAAUUUUGGUUCGGUUCGGUUCAAUUUUUUUUUAUUCGGUUCGGUUUAAUUUUGAUUUGGUUUUUUUCGACUAGGUUUCGGUUCGGUUUUUUUUUUAUAAAACUUUUUUAUUUUUUAAAAUUUGAAAAUUGGUCUGUGCUCUACAACUUUGCUUACAGUUUUUGCCAUUUCAAAGAAAGUAAAGGAAGAAAAAAAGAGAAAGAGAAAGAAGACGCAAGAACAAACAAAGAGAAAGAAGAUGUAGGGAGAAAAAAAAAGGAAGAAAGCAAAGAGUCGGAUGGGGAGAAAAAAAUGGAAGAAAGAAGAGGGUUGGGUGGGAAGAGUGGGGAGAAGAAAGGACUUAGACUAUGGGUUAAUGGUUGCCCUAAAACAAAAGCUUAAAACUUGGGUCUAAACUUAAAUUGGGCUUGGAAUAUAAACAUUCCAAUAUUAAAUAAAUAAAUAUAUUUAAUUGUAUUUAAUUCGGUUCGGUUUGGUUUGGUUUUUGAAUUAUCAAAACCGGAAUCGAAACUGAACCAAUAAUUUUCGGUUCGGUUCGGUUUUUUUUUUGUUCUGAUUUUUUCGGUUUUGGUUCGGGGUUCGAUUUGAUUUUUUUCGGUUUUCAGUUUUUUUAACCCACCCCUAUGUUUCUCAUUGUUAUCAAUGAGUAUUAUUUGCAUCUGAAAUCAUAUCCAUUGGUGUUUAUAAUUCGGACUCAUGCCCUAUUCUUUUAGUUAAUCUUUUUUUUAAUGAUUACUUUUAUAAUUUGUUCUUUCGUAGAAAUAUUAAAAAUAUUUGAAUUUCUUAUUUUCAGUUCUUUGUCUUGUGAAUUGAAAUAAGCAUCCAAUAGCUCAUUUUACUAGGGGUAAUGCAACACUUAAGUAAUAAUUCAAUCUUUAACAUUCAUGUCAUUUAGUUUACACAAUUUUCCUACAAAUUUAGUCUUCCUAAUAUUACCCUUUACUAAUUCAUGAUUUCGUGUACAUGAGAACGUCCUAGUCAAGUUGCGCACUAGAACGUCCGUACGUUGUAUAUACAAAUUCGUAUAGCACUUGUUUUUCUUAAAUGAGGUUUAACUUCGAGACAAGAUUUCAACGAGGCAAAUUGUAUAUACAAAUUAAUACAGCACUAGUUUUUCUUAAAUGAGAUUUAAAUUCAAGACAAGAUUUCAACGAGGCAAAGGAUAAAAAAAAAAAAAAAAACAAAUGCACGCGCGCACACAAAAUAUAUAUAUAUAUUGAAACACUAAAGAUUCAAGGGUUGAACUGACAUUGGAGAGAGAACAAAAGUGUGAUGCACAGACGUAUGGAGUAUGGUAUACUAGUAUAAGCUAGGGUUGAAUUUACACGUAUGAGAUGUAUGAAUUGAUCAAUCGAUCGUAUAUAGUGUCUGAAAAGUUUCAACUGUACGUGAUCCAUGUACCAUCAUCACACGUCUGAAGCGUUGUCGGAGUUAGGGACGGCUCGGUUUCGGUUGCGGGACCUCCGCUUGGACUGUCGUUUGUGGCUGCCACCAAACUUCAACCUGCCAGUGUCCUUGAAGCGUGCCUUCUCAGCAGAAACGGUGACGCACUCGGAUGGUGGCACUGGGUAACGCAACGAAUCGUAGCAAUAUGAGUAGUACAUGUAACGCUGCCGAAACCUGCGCAUGGCGGCUCGCCGCUGACGCGUGAUGACGGAGUAGUCUUGGGUGGCGAGGUGGGUGUAAUGUUCCGCGCACGCUUCAGCGGCAGGGAUUUGCUGGAUUGGGUCGGCGGGGCAGCCCUCUAGGACUAGGUCUUUGAAUUCUGCUACGAAAGGAGCAUAUUUGUAAUUCACCUUGUAUUGCCCGCCGGAGGUGGCCCAACUGCUUGCAUCCCAUAUAGUCGUAUACAAGGACAUUGGCUUGGAGGGGUAGUCAGCGCCCAUUUCUUCAUUUCGCACUACCUCUCUAAUUGGGACUUCAUCCACGUAGAAUCUGAACGUUACAUUCACAUAUUCUCUUUAAUUUUAGUCAUCGAAUUAAAUAAAUCAAAUUAAAACAUAUGACAAGAUUAAACAAGAGUUUAGAAAGAGAAAGAAAGUAUUUGGUAAUUUCCCUUUUAUAAAUAGUUGAAUAUUGCUACAACCGGUUUCAAACAUGAAUACAUCAACAUCUCACAUUAACGUUAUACAAUGACUUUGUCGAAUAACAUAAUUUAGUUCCCAUUUAUUCCUCACCAAGUCACUAGCAUAAACAGCAGAAAGUAUUGUGUGUGUCACACAUAAGAGAAGGAUGCUUCAAACAUAUAUGACAUGUUUUUUAACCAAUAAAUAUGUGACAUAUUGUGCUAUUAUAUUUUAGUCCAGACAUUUAGCAAUAAUUAUACAUCAUCUAUCACUUAAUUGAUUCAAUUCAUAUGCUGAUCUGGUAUAAACAUAACAUGUACUUUGUCACAAAAGGAGAUACAAUGUCAUUAUAAAUGUUUUGCAAAAAUGCUACUCUUACCAUCUUGUUGCAUCAUUUCUCUAAUAGAGAUGAGACUUACAUGCGUUGGCGGGCUCUACUAACCGAUUAAAUUUAGUUGCUCUUUUAGACCUCAAAACAUUGAGGAAUGCUACACUUAUUAUCUAAUUGUAUCAUCAUUUGUAUUAUUCUUCUAAUGAGAUAAGACUUACAUAUGUUGAUGAGAUCUAUUUCUAUUAAAAAAAUAGUACAAAUGACACUACAUGAGAAGUGUAGUAUUCCUCAAUGUUUUUGGGGAGGCAGAUUGUCUGUCCUUCUAUUAUGGUACUCUUCUCAUCCCCUCUUAUUUGUGCGGUUACGGUUAAGUCACGUCAACAUUUUAUAUUCCUAUUACUUUUUGUUUUAUUAUCUCUAUAUAAAAAAUAAUAUAAAACAUUGACAUGAUUUAAUCGUAACCGUACAAAUAGAAAGAGAUAGGAAUGACACCAUAACAGGAGGGCAAACAAUCUACCUCAAAAAAAAAAGACUAAAUUUAAUAGACUUAGAAGCAACCCAGACGCAAUCCCAAUGUGCGUGGGGCCUCCCCUGAGGUCAAAUAAAGCAUAAAACAAAGUCCACAAAGCAUGGGUGGUUGCGUACCUGCGUUAACAAUUAUAAAUUUUUUAUUGUGAUAGGAAUAUGGUGGUACACCACGUGUUUUUAUAUAAGUAAUGAAAAAUUAUAUUUUUUAAGUUAUAAAAUUUUUAGCACAUAUAUUUUACUAUUGAUAUAGUGACAUGUGGUGUACCAUUCCGUAUUCUAGUCAGACUGAAAAAUAUCUCCUGAACAGCAAGAAUCAUCAUGAUCCAUAGAUAGAUACUAAAACUUUCCCAAAACAGAAGGAAUCAAUGAAAGAAAUCAGGAAGUAAUUUCCUACCCUUUCUUGUUUUUUUUUCUCCCUCUACACAUCCUUAUCUAUUUUUAAUCAUUAAUUUAAAGAAAAACUAAUAAAAAUGAUUUGAAAACUUUGAGUUUUAACCAUAAAAACAAAAUAAAUGGUUUGAAAAGUGUAAAAAAAAUGUAAUUUUUCGUUAAAGUAAACAGUACCUAAAACUUUUCGUUAAAAUUCUCUUAAUUUAAAUCAAUAAGAAAUAAAAAUAAACGAACAAAAAUAAAACAUCAACGUGUAUAAGAAAGAAAAAGUGUAAAAAAUCAUUUCUCUAGAGAGGAAUGACAACAAAAACAAAGCCAUAAAUAGCUUAAGAGGAAGUGAAAUUAACUGAUUAGCAAGGGCGAGCCAUGAUUUUUUUCUUGAGUGGGCUAACUGAAAAUAGUACCAUAAAAUCAUAUGUUUAUUUUUUUGUUUAUAUAAAAUUACCAAUAUAAAAGAACAACAAUAUAAUAUAAACUAUUCUCAAAUUCAAAACCCUAAUCAAUAAAUUCAAGAACCAUAUAAAUAAUUAACCUACUAAUUAAAUCAAGAAUAAGUAAAUAAAGAGAUUAAGAAUGUACCAAAGGUGACAUUCAUUGGAAAAUUGCAACGGAAAGUCAAGAAUUACGGAGAUAGGAUUUAAUUGUGGAUUUAAAGAACUUAUGUUUCUUUUCUUGAGUAAGAAGCACAAAGGCUAAAUUACAUAUGGUAAAUGGUUUUUUUCUUUAAAGAAUAGGAUAAAAGAGGACUGGAGAUAGAACUAAUUUAUAAUUUUUAGCAUAAAACGUAUUAUUUACUACCUCUCCUCUAUUAAAUAUACAUUACAAAAUAAUCUGUAUUGAAAUUGAGUAGGCUAUAAGCAUGAAUUUACAAAAGAAUAGAUCUAUUCACAAACUCAUUUUUACUUCCAACACAUCCUUAUUAAUAUUUUGCCAGUAAUCAUCUUUAAUUCAUUUGAUCCGAACAAUCAACAAUUGAGAAAGGUGUGUAAGAAGUAAAAAUGAAUGCAUGGAUAGCAUUACCCUUACAGAAAACCUCUCUAGGCUAUAGACCACCUUAGCCUUGUGGGUGGCUACGCCAUUGCUGAUUAGAUGAGAAUGGAAGAAAGGAUUGGAUCGGACUUACAUGGUGUUUUCGGGUGUCCAAAGGAUGCUGUAGCGGUGGAAGUCUUUCGUAGGGUCGAACCAGAGGCGGUAACGUUCUUCGCGGCCGCGGUUGGUGCUGCCAUUUCCGUAGAGGUUGGUUUGGAAUCUCCAUGGCUUCCCUUCUGUGUUCCCUAAGAAUUCUAUGUCCAACUCAUCGUGGUUCUUCUCGAAUACGUCCGCGUUUGAUGUCUGUUUGUUCAAUUUGGUCAUCGCCACCAGACAAAUUUAGUAGCACAUUAGAAUUACCUCCCCUAGUUAUUUAGAAAAUAUCAACGAAUUUCCCUUCAAUUCCUCAGACCAAAAACGGAUCAUUUCUACGUAAGAAAAAAACGGUCGUUUCAAAUUAAUUUACCAUAUAUAUAAAAUUGUGGUACGUAGAAAUAACAAGAAACUUACGUAAAAGGCAACACAGAUACCGGCAGUAUAAUCGGAUGGCAACUUAAUGUUAGCGCUGAAGAAACCAUGGUUGUAAAGAUUGGAGGAGAUGAAGCCAGAACCUUGAUUAAUUUUUAUUUUUAUUAAAAAAAAAACCGAGUUAAUUAGUAUGAAUAAAAAAGAGUAUUUCAAGAGACAAUUAGAGAAUUACAAAUUAAUUACGAACCUGUGAAGCGAUCAAGGAGGAGACGUACACCUUUUCCGUCGGGUGAUCGGACAAGGUUGCCAUCGCCGAAUAGAGGGGUAUAGCCUUGGUCGAAGGGGAUGGUGGUCAGGUUGUAGAAAGCUGCGUCCACGUUUCCAACACACACAAGGAUCAAUGGUAUUAACCUCAAAGGCUGGAAAAAUAGAGAAACUCCAUUAGACCAAUAUCUACAGGGUUGUAAUCCCUCCAUUUGCUUUCAAUAUUUUUUUCUUUAGCGAUUCAAAUUUAAUCUCUCUUCUCUCUCUCUCUCUCUCUCUCUCUCUCUCUCUCUCUCUCUCUCUCUACAUCCGAUCCCACCUCUUUCGAUUUCUCUUCCGAGUCCGUUUAUACACACACACGCACACACACACACACACGCACACAUAUAUACAUCAGCUAAAAGAGGCCAAGGGGAAUUCAAUGCAAAGGUUACGAGAGAGAGAGAGAGAGAGAGAGAGAGAGAGAGAGAGAGAGAGAGAGAAGGAAAGAGUAUAUGGUCCUCGGCUGCUGAUUAGCCAUUGAAUGUGUUAAUCAAUUAUUUCUCCACCCAUCUUUUUCCUUUUUGCUGAAUAUUUCUUAAAAAAUAUUAAACUUUUUUUUUUUUUUGACGAAUGAUGCAUCAACAGGUUAAAUUUUUAGUUGUUAGGGCAAGGAGGGUUGUUGAAUUGCACUCACACCAUGGUGUAUAGAUAUUAUUAUUUUCCAUCAUUGCAGUAAAACGUCAUCUGACUACAAAUAAAAACCGAAAGCAAUUUGUUUUUUCCAAACUGGAUUUUAACUUUUAAAAGGGAUUUGAACACAUUAAAAUUUGAAAAUAAAAUAAAGGUGGGUGACUUGUUACAAUUAGUAUAUAAAUUAUAUAAUGAAUAACAAAAUUUAAUGACCACCAAUCCAAUAUUCAUGCAAGGAAUAAUGGAUACUGAUUCCUAACAACUAUAAAUAACAAAUAUGAUAUGGAUUCUUGUGGUUUUAAUUUACAAUUUAUGACAAAAAAUUGAAAUACUAGUUCCAUACGGUGGUUCAUUUAUAAUUUUAAUGAUAAUGAUCCUACCAUGCAAUUCAGAUAUGGUCAUGUUGUUAUUCUAACCAAACCAGCAGGUCCAUAAGAGCAGUUUCCAUCGGUGAACUGAUAGGCCAUCACCCAGCCAAAAAACCAGCUCGGUAUCUAGGCUAUCCACUCCAGCCCGGCAUUUUGACCGGCACCCAGCUCAAGCUGGUCUCCAGGCCACCCCAAAAUCGACAGAGGUGUGGGCUGACCCGUAUGACGCCAUGUUGACGCUAGCGUGGCAUCAGAGGCAAUUUCAAUUUUUUUUUUGUGCCAAGCGCGUGGCAAGCACGCGUGACUGGGCGCGAGUAGGCAACAAGGAAUCAAACGGGGGCCCGCUGCGCAGGCGCACUCAACCAUCAGAUUGGGAGGCCACGUGGCCCGGGCUGUGCCAUUAGAUUUUUAACGAUAAAAAAAUUUUGAAUUUUUGUUUAUAUCUUGACCUUCCGAUCACAGAUCAACGAUCCACGUUUUUCCCCCAAAAAUAAAAAAAAUAAAAAAAAGCCCAACAAUCAGAAUUAUGACCAUUGGCCACGUGGCACCUUAUAGGUUGUUGGAUUUGAAUAUUUUUCAAAUCCAACGGUCCAGAUUUAUUAACUAAAUUAAAAUUUAUUAAAAAUUAAUUAAAAAUAUAGAAAAAUUGUUAAAAAAUACAGAAAAAUUUUAAAAAUUUUAUUUAUUUUCUAUAAAUACCUAACCCUCAUGUUCCACCCUACACCACAUUUCAAUACUUUCUACACUUUCUACAGUUCAAUAUUUUCUACACUUUGAGAGAAAAAAAAAUGACUUCGUUGAAGCUCAUUGAAGAUGUUACAUUGUGUGAAUGUUGGGUUCACACAACUCAUGACAUGAUUACGGGUAAUGAGAUGGAUAAGUGAGAAAUGUAGAGUAAAAUUAUGAAAGCGUUUUGCAAUGUACAUAGAAAAGAUGCCAGAAGUAGUCAAGGUCUUCAAGGUUGUUGGAAAAAAUCAACGCAUCCUUUACUUGUUGGAAAAACGCCAUCUCCCAUACUUCCGGUAUCUGCGUAGUGGGACAAAUUUAGCAGAUUAGGUGACAAUAUUUUUAUUUAUUUUUAUGUAUUCCACCCGCAUCAAUAUUUUAAUUUAUUUAUUUGUGUUACACCCACAUUUUAUAAUAUUGUCUUAUCCCACAUUUAUAGACACUACAAGCAUAAGCAUUCUACAAUGCAAAGAACCACAACAAAUCACUCAACAAAUGGGAAUGUUGGGAAAUUGUCAAAGAUUGCCCCAGAUACAAAAUUGUGGCAACUAGUCCAGAAGUUGUCAUGCACAGCAUGGGUCUACACAGUUCACUAGAAGCAGACACCGCCUAACAAGAAGGCGACAUAGUUGAGGACACAGAAGAGACGCCUGAUGAACUGCCGGGGACCCAACCGACUCAUCAGUCCCUCAAUCCUCAAGGUAAAAGAGCAUCAAAGAAAAAUGUAGUUCUUCCAAAAAUGAAUACACUAAAUAUAUGGACGAACUUGCUCGCUAAGGUGAACUGACCAUGGCGCAGGAAGCUGCUAGAGAUGAGGAAAAAGUUGCUGCUAUGGCAGCAAUAUUAGUAGCUACUGAGAGACGUGAUGCGGCAGUUGAGAGACAAAGAGAAAUAGUUAAUCGAGAGAACGAGAUGAUUAGAGAAGCACUUAAUCGAGAAAAUGAGAUGCUUAGAGAAGAAAGGAUGGCUCAAGCAGAUCGUGACACUAUGAACAAGGACAUUUAGGUCAUUCUGAACUCCUGGAACACCAAAAAAAGCAUGCCAAAUCCAUGUAUCAAAUGAAGCCACCGCUUCCAAAAUUAUACUCUUGGCUCAUUUUCUGUCGCCAUAAGCUCCUUGCCACACACUUGGACAAUUUUUCCAAGUCCAGUGCAUGCAGUCGAUGCUUCCAAUCAUGUCAGGGAAGCCUUGCAUCUCACCUUUCCUUAGAAGCCUUCGCAUGUCCCUUGGCAUGGGUGUCUGGAGGUAUUCAUUGGUGUACAGGGCUUCAAUUGCAGAGCAAAACCUCAUCAGGGACUCCAAAACAGUUGUUUUUUCCAUCCUCACGAUCUCAUCCACUUGAUCUGCAGAUAGUCCAUAUGCAAGCAUUCGCAAGGCAACCGUAAUUUUUUGCUCAGGAAGAAGACCUAGAACAUGAAAAGCAUCAUCUUUUUGCACAAAGUAUGGAUCAUGGUUGCAAAUAGCACUCAUGGUUUUGUCGAACAAACUUUGUUGCAUUCUAAAACGACGUCUAAAAACAUGAUCAGGGAAUAUGUUGUUGGGAAUAAAAUAAUCUUCCAAGAGAUCUUUACCUCGUCUUUCCCUUUUUCUAUCGAAGUUUGCAGCACGUCUAGGUUUGACUAUCUGAUCCACAGCUUCCAUGACACGGCGGGAAUGUGAGGCCCUCUGCCUUCUAUGGUCAUCAUCCUCAUCCUCAUCCUCCUCCAUUGCAAAAGCCUCAUCUCCACCUCCACCUUCCUCGAGAUUGACCAAUUCUUCCUGUUGUGCCAACAAUCUUUUCUGUUGCUCCUUAAAUUGUUUAUAUACUCUCCUUGUGGAACACAUUGUAAAAAAACUCAAGAUUUGAAAAUGAUGAAAAAGGAUUCUGAGCUAAAAAGAAGGAUUGAGUUUGGUGUGAGGAUCAUGUAGAGAUGUAGGAUUUAUAUGGACAAAAGAAGAAAGGAUAAGGUUCUGGACAAUGCCACGUGGCAUUACAUGAUUUGUUGAAAAUCUUAUCGAAAUCUUGGCUAAGUUAUUACAAACAGGAAGUGACACGUGGCUCAUCGGGAUUGGUUGAAAAUCUUAUCAGAAAUCUAUCCACAAAAUAGUAUGUUUGGAUACUGACACGUGGCGUAAUAAGAUUGGUUGAAAAUCUUAUCGUAAUCUUGGCUAAAUUAUUGUAAACAGAUAGUGACACGUGGCGUGUUGGGAUUGGUUGCAAAUCUUAGCGAAAAUCUAUUCACAAAAUAGUACGUUCGGAUAAUGACACGUGGCGUGACGAGAUUGAUUAAAAAUCCUAUCCGAAAUUAAAUUUUUUUAUUUAUUUAUUCUUUUAUAAAAUAUUUUAAAUGGGCUGGGUGUCAGCGCAUUUUGUAGGGGUAUAGAUCGUUUGUACCAGCGCAUUUUUAAACUUUGUGCCGGUGCAUUUUUUUAGGGAUGAAGAUGUAUUUGACCUAUUACUGUUCAUUAGGGUCUAUCACUGUUCACUGAGUGGAUAAAUGCGCUAGAUGUUGGCGUAUUUGUGUUAGGGGGGAAACUGCUCUAACAAGAGAACAAACGUACACGUAUAUGUAUGUUAAAAUACAGUAAAGCCAACCGAGCCUAAAAUGCUUAUAUUUUUCUUUUUUUUUUUUUAGCUGUCAAGACGAACUUACUCAAAGGACGACGUUUUGAGCUAGAUUUUUCUAUGAUUAAUCUGUAGCGUUCUCAUCAUAAAUUAGUUAUCUGUUCAGCCCAAACAAACUUCAUAUUAAACGAUUUUUAUUAUGAUACUUGUGCAAUAAUAUAUUAAUUAUAAUGAGUCAACAAGUAGACAUGUAUUUUACAAAAUGAAGAAUAAGCUCCUUUUAACUUUACCAAAUGUUUUCAUCCACGAAGUCGAUAAUAUGACGCUGGCAUGUGUCUAGUUCUUUUUUUUUUUUUUUUUUUUUGAAAGGGGCAUCAUGUGUCUAGUUAUGAGAAGUAGGAAUAUACGCUAGAAGAUUAUGGAAAUCAACAUCUUCAUAAGAUGACUCAUUCCUUUAAUUGCAAUUAGAACCCUGCAUGUGUACCACACAUAUUAUAACACUAGUCUACUUUCUCGGGUUAUAUAUUAUUUAUUCUAAAAGAAAUUAGGUUCAUAUUCUUCUUUUUGUUACUUCAUUGAUUAAAAUCUUAUUCAUUUUUAAUUUUUGAUCAAAGUCCUUGGGUAUUAAUAACAUCAUUAAUUAUUUGAAUAAUAAAAUAUUUUUAUUUUUAAUAUAUUCCCUUAGUGUUAAAAAUGUUACAAUAAGUAUAUUUAUAUUUAUGGCUAAAUUUUUUAUCAUAUAUUUUUAUUUUAGUUUGUACCUAUUUUUAAUUUGCAAAUAUUUUUUAAUUUGUAACAAGUUUCUUUUCAUUUUUAAUUUGUAUUCAAUAUAUUAUUUUUUUUGUUUGUGCCCAUAUUUUUUAAAGUUUUUUUUGUGUUUGUACUCAUGUGUAUACCGUCACGUGACAUUGUAUAUUUAAUCAAUAAUAGAAAAAUUACAUAUGGUAUAUUUAUGUUUUAUGCCUAAACUUUGUAUCAUAUAUUUAUAUUUCUAGUUUGUACCCACUUUUAAUUGGAACAUUUUUUUUUAAAUUUGCAGUAUUUUGUUUUUAGUUUUAUUUUGUACCCAUGUAUUAAUUUCUUUUAGGGCCUAUAUUUUUUAAAAAUUCAUUUGUACUCAUAAUUUUUUAAUCUUUUAUAUGUACCCUAAUUUAUUUAUAAUGUACCCAUUCUUCUUUAUUAAUGAGGGAUUUUAAAUUUAUAAUGUACCAUUUCUAAUAGUAUUAUAAUGAGGGAUUUUAAAUUUAUAGGAUUAUAAAUCUCAUAAUAUAUCAAACAAUUAAUGUCAAAACUAUAAAAAUAUAAAUAUUAAUAGUAAUAUAAUGAAGUGUACAAAGUCAAAGGACUUUAAUCAAACUUUGAAUACCAUUAAGGUUUUAAUCAAACAAUGUUAAAAAUUAGAGACCGCAUGUCACAGCCCGUCCCAAAUAUAUAUUUAUCGACGGCGUGAAUUGACAAAUAUACCCUUGGACGUUAGUUAUGUAAUGUGGCUUAAGUGUAGCUUUGGGUUAAUAUUCUUAAAUCCUAAUUGUUUGGAACCAAUUAGGAUUAAGUUAUGUUUUUUUUUUUUUUUUUUUUUUUUGUGGUUGACCAAUCCUAGGCCACACACACACUAUCUCUCUUCUCUAUUCGGUACCCUCUCCUCCCUCUCGGACUCUCAUUCUCCCUCUCAUUCGAACUCGUAUGGACAAACAUCCAAAGCUCUUGAAACUUCACGGAUUGAAGCUUUAAAGGUAAGGUUCUUGCUCAUUGUAACCUCCUGAGUACAUUGAUACCCUUGUUUGGACGUGAAUGCUUCAAAAACUCGAGAAAACCCUAACCCCGAUUUUGUGCACUGUUCAUGCACACGUAAAAUCUUGUGUUUCAGGGAAUUCUAAGGCCAUAAGAAGCUUAAGGAGGUGCUCAUGAGUCUAGGGGUACUUCGUUGGAAGGAUUUGGACGUCGGAUGACUGAGAUCGAUGUGUUUCUAGGUAAGCCGAGCUAUCGACCUUUCUCAAGAAAAGUCUAGCAGAAUUUAAGCCUUGAAACUUGUAUAACGUGAUUCUACAUGUUAUUAGCUUCAUUUUGGUACCAAUUUCAUAAAAAAUGGUUGAAAAAUGAGUGAGAAUAGUAGGUUUAAAGUUUUACCCAGUUUUCCGACGACCGGCGACUCGCCGGAGAAGAUGACGGCAUAUUCCGUCAAUUUGGACGGAAUAUGCUGACGCCGUCAGUCAGUUUUAACGGAAUCUGUUAGGUUUAAUAGAAUAUUCCCUAACGGUGGUUAGGGAAUCCGUCAAGUUUGGCCGCACGUAGGGGCGCGUUUUGCCGUGCCCUUGCCAGCGCGUGGGGGCACGUGAGGCUUCCAAAAAAUUUUCUAAAAAUUUGGGGAUGAUCCUGAGGUUGUGUAGAUCACUGUGGUAUAUUCAUAUACCCAAUUUGAGCAAUGUAUGAGAAGUUAUUAGCUAGUUUUGCCUAUGUGCUUUAAAAUAACGUUUUUAUAGUUAAUUCGCAUAUAGGUGAGACUUAUCCCGAGGACGAGCGUAUCCACGGGCGACUCGGGGGCUACGACCCUUCGACAUACCAGUGAGUCGGCUUUUGUUUCCAGUAUAUAUUUAUAUACUUGAUAUAUUUCUCAGAAAUGCAUUUUAAGGAAAGUAUGCUUUGAAAUAAUAUGUCAAAUGCUUUUAUAUUCUGAAUAUGCAUUUCAUGGUUGCAUAUAUAUAUAUAUAUAUAUAUAUAUAUAUAUAUAAAUGUGGUGCUGUGGAGGCACGGGUAAGUUCAGGUAAGUUAUGUUUGGCUAUGUGAAUCAUCGAUGAUGUGAUAUGUGAUUGAAUGAUGUUGAGGUCAUAAAACUGCACCUAGGGUAAUUGUGAUUUAGCCAGAGAUAUGAACUACAACCCUGUUUAUUUACGUCACCUCCCGCACUAUAUGCUCAUAUUGGAUCCAACUUAAGUGCACAGUCUUGUCGUACAGACCUUAUUUAUGGUUCCAACUCGUAGGUGACUAGUGAUUUAUCGCCCGACUAUUAUGAGAGAGUAAAAUUGAGCAUAAUUAUAUUACACCCAAUCUUGUCAUACAGACCUUUAUAGGGGUUCCGACUUAUGUGCAGUAUAUUGCCGUAUAGGUCAUUGUAUUGACUCCGGCUAGAUUGUUUUUAAGCUGUGAAUUUAGCCGUACAGACUACCACAGGGAUUCCGGCUAACAUAUCAUAUUUCUAUGAAUUUAUUUUUACCUGAAUUGCUUACUCUGUUAUAUAUUGGCAUGGUAUAUAUAUCUGAAUAUGAUUAUGUGAAGCAUGAAUUGUAUUGAUAUGAAUUCAUAUAUAUGUAUACAUACAUUAUGCAUAUUCUUAUAUUCUGAUUCUGGGAAAAAUUAUACAUGUUUUACAGCGAGGGGUUAGAUAUGUUGAUGAAAAUGAUUUUGUAAUACAUUUGUUUUUGCCCACUCAUGUUUUAUGUUUUGCGCCCCUCCAGGUUUUAAGUAAGCUUGCUGUUGGUGGCUUGAGGACGUCGGCAGUUUUGACUUAUCUAAAUAAUAGUAGGACAUUUCUGGUACUGUAUAACUAGUACUUAUCCUAUUAGACUUCACCUAGACUUUAUGCUCUGAUUAGGAGUGUUCACUGUUGUAACUAACUCCUAUAACUUUUUGUUUAGUAGUGCACUCUAGUAAUUUGGUUUUUAAUUAUUCGUAUAUUUCUUAUCUUUAUUGCUUCCACACUGUGCACAUAGCUACGUCACUCUCACAUGACGACCAGCGUGCCUUGAUCUCGGUUGUGGUGUGUCAGUUUGGUAUCAAAGCCUAGGUUUAGCAGUCCUGUAUAAUUCUUGAAUGUUCUAAUCUUUGUGAUGUCUUAUGUCAGAAGUAUGCCGCCUCAUAGAGGGCCCCAUCAACUAGCUGAAUCUAGUUUCCCUGAUAUUGCUCAAUUAGGGGAAGCUAUAGUUUCUGCCAUUCAGACAGCAUUCCGUACUCCUCAUAGGACACCUCUUGAGACAGUUCACAAUCUGAAGUUGACUCACUUCAUGGGUAAUGAAGGUCAUGAGGGGGCAGAAAAAAUGGUUGAAUCAUGUAGAUAAGACCUUUCAAGUGAUGCAGAGUUAGGGGAAUCUUUCUUCUGAUAGGUGGGUUGAGACGACUACCUGGUUUUUGGGAGAAUAGCCUGCAUCCAUGUGGAGACAGGAGUCUUACUAGAUUACCCUAGAAGAGAUUGUAGACUGGGAAGUGUUUAAGGAACGGUUUCGGAAAAGGUUUAUUCCUCCUGCAUAUAUCGAUCUUAAGAAACAAGAGUUUACUCAUCUGAGGCAAGGAAAGAUGUCCGCUAAUGAGUAUUACAGGAUGUUUACUGAUAUGUCAAGAUAUGAUCUGAAGGUUGCUGCUAAUCCAGUAGAGAUGCUUCGCCACUUCAGUUUGGGUACUAAGAAGAAAUGGCGUUCCAUAGCGAUGUGUACUCACUGUGCCUCUUACCAGGAGUUCUAUGAGAUUCUACUGAGGAUUAAGGCCUUAGAGAGCAUGCCUAGUGAAAGUGAAGAUGAGGAAGGAAAGAAUGGGGGCCAGAAACGAGAUGACAAAGGAAAAGGGCAAGCAUUUCAGGGACCCCGCAAGACCCAAAACUUUAAGAGGAGUGGUGGCAGUGAAGGAAAUAUUGUGAAAAACAUGUUCAUUUAAGCAACAUCUAUAGCAUGCAAUUAACAAUUAAAAGGCGGAAUCAUGCUUGUAUGCACUUAAAACAAAACAUUAACCAUGAAAUUCAAAGCCUAGUAGAUUGGUGAACCUUGACUCAACUUAAAACAACAUUUGUUAGUUGAGAAAUUAUACCUUUGUAGAUUCCUCUUUGCAUAAGCAAAGGCUAAUCACCCAAAGAGAGGGCCUUCAUUCCUUGCAUCUUAGAUCUAUGGAUUUGGAUGGAUGAAAUGGUUCUCCAAGUUCCCAAAAUUGAGAACCUCUAAGUCUCUUCACCAAGGUUAGAUUGGAGAAGAAAUGAGUGACCUUGGAGUAGUAGGAUUGCUAGCUAAACUCUCCAAGGAGGCCGGCCACUUUAGAGAGAAAGGAGAGCUUAUGUUCUCAUCCUUUCCCCAAAAGAAAACCCUAAAAGAAUUUUGGCUAUAAAGUCAUAAUUAUACCUUUAUUCAUUGGAAUGGCAAACUUGUAAUUAAAGCAAGUUCACUACCCUUCCUCUAAAUGGCCGGCCAUAGGGUUCUAUUGGGCUUUUUGGGCCUUUGUGAAUUAAGUUGUCAUACAACUUAAGUUAAUGGGCUUGACGUUUGAAGCCCAUUGGGCCUUGAGGCCCAAAACUAACCCGUGGUCUUUUAACGAACUUUAUUCGUUUGAUUAAUUAACAUAUUAAUUAAUCCUUGCCAUAAAUAAAUAAUCAAACCAUUUAAUUAUUCUUACUCAUCUCCUUUGUUUCUUCAAUCUCCACCUUACACGGUGUACGAUCCAUUAGGUUCCUUUUAGCGAGGCAGUGGGCGAUUAAAACCAUUUCAAAUCGAUUGUGAAUUGAAACUUACUUUCAAUUCUCCCUUUAGUGUUUAUACACGUUUAGGGCUUCCACAAACCAUGAGUGACACCUAGCAGUAUGUCAUGGUUACCCAAGCUAAUCAGAAGAGGUGGAGAACCUAUUUAGUUUAGGAUUACAAUGCAAUACGGUCUUUCUCUAAUACAAUACUCUUGAUCACAUUGUUUGGAUUGAUAGUUUAUUCAUGUCUACUAUCCAAUGUGAUUCAUUUACUUAUAUGAUUACUUUGAAUGUGAUUUGGAAUGACUUCCUAAAUCUCAUUCAUACUCUGGCCAGAGAUUCUUAAUCAUAUCAUAGAGUAUUCUCCCCCAAACGGUUUGAAGGUUAGAGAUCCCUUGUUGCGCAUUCACUUGCCUCCAUGGCUAAGUGGCUUAACCCCGACGAUGCCGUGGACACCCGCGGAUGGGGUGACUUUGACAUAAUCAAAGAUCAAGUACCUAACCACAAGACAACUAUGAUGCCUCAGGUUAAAGGACUAUUUUGCAUUAUCCCAACCAUGAGUUCUCAUGUGACAUGAGUAUGAGAACUCCUCGUUGAUCGUGUUCAGUGGACUCAUUCAUUAUUGAGCACCUACAUGUUUGUCUUGGUGUCAAUCACACCAAUGACUCGAGACUAGUCACUCUCACUAAGAGAAGACAUAGCAUGUACUGAUCUUAACCGACUGUCAAUGCCCAAUUGGCAAUCCUAUGAUCAGGAGCGUUUAGGAUAUGUAUACGAAAGAGAAUGGUCUCAGUAAUCUAACUUGUUUAAAUCACAUUCUCCUAAUUACAUAUUCCUUGGACUUAUCGUUUAAGCAUAUAACAUUUAUAUGAGACGGCUUAAACAAUAAUAUUUGCCCUUGAUAUUAAACUAGAUUAGUUUAACAUGUGAAAUAUCCAUAAAGUAUCAUCAUAUGAUUGGUUUUAGGGCACAUUUCCAACAGGCAGUUCCAGCUCUUCUAGCGGAGGAUUUAGUACUAAUAUGCAGAGGAGAGGUGGUAGAUUCACUGGAGGUUCGAGGUUCCAGAGAUAGAGAGAUUUUGGUGGUCCAGGUCUAUUUGGUGCUCCCUUAUGCCGCAUGUGUAAUAAUCGGCAUUUUGGGGAGUGUAAAAGAGGCAGCAAUGGAUAGUUUACUUGUGGACAGAUGGGUCAUAGGGCUGCUCAAUGCCCUCAGAGUCAGCAGAGACCUCAGCAGCCUUCAUUCCCACCACCUGCACCUACCCAGCAUGCUUCAGGAUCUGGUGGUUAUACUCAGACUGGACGAGGAGGUGCCUACCACUAUCAGGGCGACGUCGUUCCUUACACCUCAAGACAACAACAGUAUUCUCUGGAUCCUCAGUAUCAGAGUGGGUACCCUUAGUAUCAGGGAGGAUCUAUGUCUUAUCAGCCACAUUCAGUCGACGGAUCUCAGUGGUACCAAGAGGGACAGCCCCAGCAGGGAAAGAUUGCUGCUAGUAGUGCAGGAUCUGAGAGGCAGUCGGGUCAGUAGAGACAGAGACGUGGUAUUCAUGCCAACAGAGGUCGCGAUGGACGACAGCAGAAUUAGGGACGUAUCCACAACAUGUCACUGCAAGAUGCCCAGAAUAAUCCAGAUUUAACGAUGGGUACGUUAAAUAUUUUUGGUCAUUUUGCUAGAGUGUUGUUGAUUAUGGUGCUACACAUUUUGUUAUUUCUCAUACAUUUGCUCAAGUGACACAACCUCAUCCUACACCUCUGGGAUAUAAUUUAGAAUUUUCUAUGCCUAGAGGGGAUAGCUGUUUUGUGGAUCGGGUAUAUCCAGGAUGUCUAGUGAUAGUAGAGGAUAUUAUUAUGCUGGCUAAUCUUAUGUCGUUGGAUAUUAUGGAUUUUGAUGUGAUUUUGGGCACUGAUUGGUUGCACUAUAAUCGUGCCAAAAUAGAUUGUUAUGGAAAGAUAGUCACAUUUCAUUGUCCUGAAUUACUUGAAGUUACAUUUGUAUGAGAGCCUAGUAGGGUGAGGCAUGGUAUUAUUUCAACCAUGAAAGCAAAAAGAUUGUUGUCGAAAGGUUGUCAGGGAUAUUUGGCUCAUGUGGUGUUGAACGAUGAUGCUCCUAGUAGUGUGGAGGAUGUUCGUGUGGUCAAAUAUUUUCCGGAUGUAUUCCAUGAGGAUUUUCCUGGAUUGCCUCCAAAUAGAGAGGUGGAGUUUGUUAUUGAUUUGCUUCCAAGUACGAAUCUCAUAUCCUUAACUCCUUAUAGAAUGGCUUCUGCUGAAUUAAAGGAAUUGAAAGUGCAAUUACAAGAGUUAGUGGAUAAAUGUUUUAUUCAGCCAAGUACUUCACCUUGGGAGCUUCAGUUUUAUUUGUGAGGAAAAAAGAUGAAACUUUGAGGCUGUGCAUUGAUUACAGGCAAUUGAAUCAGGUAACCAUUAAGAACCGUUAUCCAUUGCCUCGUAUAGAUGAUUUAUUUGAUCAACUCAGAGGUGUCUGCGUAUUUUUUAAGAUUGACUUGAGGUCAGGAUACUAUCAAUUGAAGAUUAAAAAUGAAGAUGUCCCUAAAACCGCAUUCAGAACUCGAUAUAGUCAUUAUGAGUUUCUUGUGAUGCCAUUCGAGUUAACUAAUGCACCAGCAGCUUUUAUGGACUUGAUGAAUUGAGUAUUCCAGCCAUAUUUGGACAUGUUUGUUAUUGUUUUCAUUGACGAUAUUCUAGUAUACUCUAAGUCUAAGGCUGAGCAUGCUAGACAUUUGAAGUUGGUGCUGAGCAGUUUGAGGGAACACCAACUAUAUGUUAAGUUUAACAAAUGUGAAUUUUGGUUGAAUCAAGUGGCAUUUUUGGGACAUGUCAUCUCUGCUCAAGGUAUUCAAGUGGAUUCUUAGAAAGUGGCAGUUGUGGAGAAUUGGGAGCAACCUCAAACAGUCACCGAGGUACGGAGUUUUCUUGGCCUAGCAGGCUACUAUAGACAGUUCGUUAAAGAUUUUUCAAUGAUUGCUCUGCCAUUGACGAGGUUGACUUGAAAGGAUGUUAAGUUUGAGUGGGAUAAUAAAUGUGAGCAAAUUUUCUAACAGAUGAAGUACUACCUCACUCAUGCACCUGUUCUAGCACUUCCUAAUGAUAGCGGUAAUUAUGAGGUUUAUAGUGAUGCUUCUUUGAAUGGUUUGGGUUGCGUAUUGACGCAACAUGGUAGAGUAAUUUCUUAUGCUUCGAGACAGUUGAAACCUCAUGAGAAGAAUUACCCUACACAUGAUUUGGAGUUAGCAGCUAUUAUCUUUACUUUGAAGAUUUGGAGACAUUAUCUUUAUGGUGAGAAAUGUAAGAUCUUCACAUAUCAUAAGAGUCUCCAGUAUCUGUUUACUCAGAGAGAUCUUAAUCUUUGUCAGCGGAGGUAGAUUGAAUUACUUAGUGACUAUGAUUGCACGAUUGAGUAUCAUCAUGGUCGUGCAAAUGCAGUGGUGGAUGAACUUAGUAGAAAGACUCCAGCCAGACUUAAUGCCAUUUAUGAUUGUCAUGUUCCUCUCCUAGCAGAUUUGAGGUCCACUGGAGUGGAGCUAGGAGUGGAAGAUCGAGAAGAAGCCUUGCUUGCUAAUUUUCAGGUUAGGCCAGUUUUAAUUGAUCGUGUGCUUGAGGCUCAGAUGAUGGAUGAGGAGACCCAGGAAAUAAUUCAAGCAAGGAACCAAGGCAAAAAGAAAGAUUUCGAGAUUCAAGAAAUUGAUGGCAUGCUUAUGCAGGAAAGCAUGAUGUAUGUGCCGAAUAAUGUAGAGUGAAAGAAAGAAAUUUUGGAUGAAGCACAUAUUUCAGCAUAUGCGAUGCAUCCAGGAGGCACUAAGAUGUAUCAUACCAUUAGACCAUUUUAUUAUUAGCCGGGUAUGAAAAGAGAAAUUGCCGAAUAUGUGAGUAGGUGUGCCAUUUGCCAACAGAUUAAAGCUGAAAGAAAGAAGCCGUUUGGUUGAUACAACCACUUCCCGUUCCACAGUGAAAAUGGGAAAAUAUUACUAUGGAUUUUGUGUACAAGCUUCCUCGUACACAGAAUGGAUAUGACGGCAUUUGGAUGGUAGCUGAUCGGCUUACGAAGUCAGCACAUUUUAUUCUAGUAAGGGAGAAGUAUUCGCUAUGCCGAUUAGCUAAGUUAUUUAUAUCACAUAUUGUUAAGUACCAUGGUGUGCCAGUUAAUAUUAUCUCGGAUCGGGAUCCUAGAUUUAGUUCUAAGUUCUGGAUAGCAUUCCAGGAAGGUCUUGGUACGAGAUUACUUUAUAGUAUGACAUAUCAUCCUCAGACAGAUGGACAAUCUGAGAGGACCAUUCAGACAUUAGAGGAUAUGUUGAGAUCUUUAGUGCUGCAGUUUGGAGAUAGUUGGGUGAUUGUUUGGAUUUGAUGGAGUUCGCCUACAACAACAGUUAUCAUUCGAGCAUUGGUAUGGCACCAUUUGAGGCACUUUAUGGGAAAUCUUGUCGUACGCCUCUAUGUUGGUCAGAGGUUGGCGAAAGAGUUUUAGUAGGCCCUGAGAUUGGGGAUGUGACUACUCAAAAUGUUCAGGUAAUUUAGUCUAACCUGAAAGCGGCCCAAGAUCGACAAAAGAGCUUAGCAGACAAGCAUGCUACUGAUCGGAAGUAUGAUGUAAGUGAUUGGGUAUUUCUAAAGCUAUCACCUUGGAAAGGUGUUGUACGAUUUGGAAAGAAAUGAAAGUUGAGUCCUAGGUACAAUGGACCAUAUAUGAUCACCGAGCGAGUCGGUGAGGUUGCUUACAGGCUUGAGUUGCCUCCAGAGUUGUCCAAGGUGCACAAUGUAUUUCAUGUUUCGAUGCUUCAACAUUAUGUUUCAGAUCCUUCACAUGUGAUUCCUCCUCAACCUUUGGAAAUCAAUUUGGACUUGACUUAUGAUAAGGAACCAGUGACUCUGUUAGAUUGGAAGGAUAAAGAACUGAGGAACAAGACAGUUCGUUUAGUAAAAGUGUUAUGGAGAAAUCAUUCAGUGGAAGAAGCUACUUGGGAGACAAAGGAUCGGAUAAGAGAGAUGUAUCCACGAUUGUUUUAUGAUUCUUAGUGGAUGUAUUUGUUAUGUAUAAUUUCGAGGACGAAAUUUUAUAAGGUGGGGAGAUUGUCACAGCCCGUCCCAAAUAUAUAUUUAUCGACGACAUGAAUUGACGAAUAUACCCUUGGACGUUACUUGUGUAAUGUAGUUUAAGUGUAGCUUUGGGUUAAUAUUCUUAAAUCCUAAUUGUUUGGAACCAUUUAGGAUUAAGUUAUGUUUUUUUUUUUGGUGGUUGACCAAUCCUAGGCCACACACACACACUCUCUCUUCUCUUUCCCGUACCCUCUCCUCUCUCUCGGACUCUCACUCUCUCUCUCAUUCGAACUCGUACAAACAAACAUCCAAAGCUCUUGAAACUUCACGGAUCGAAGCUUUAAAGGUAAGGUUCUUGCUCAUUGUAACCUCCUGAGUACAUUGAUACCCUUGUUUGGACGUGAAUGCUUCGAAAACCCGAGAAAACCCUAACCCCGAUUUUGUGCAUUGUUCAUGCACAUGUAAAACCUUGUGUUUCAUGGAAUUCUAAGGGCAUGUUAUUAGCUUCAUUUUGGAACCAAUUUCAUGAAAAAUGGUUGGAAAAUGAGUGAGAAUAGUGGGUUUAAAGUUUUACCCAGUUUUCCGACGACCGGCGAUUCGCCGGAGAAGAUGACGGCAUAUUCCAUUAGUUUGGACGGAAUAUGCUGACGCCGUCAGUCAGUUUUAAUAGAAUCUAUUAGGUUUAAUAAAAUAUUCCCUAACGGUGGUUAGGGAAUCCGUCAAGUUUGGCCGCGCGUAGGGGCGCGUUUUGCCGUGCCCUUGUUGGUGCGUGGGGGCACGUGAGGCUUCCAAAAAAAUUUCUAAAAAAUUUGGGGAUGAUCCUGAGGUUGUGUAGAUCACUGUGGUAUAUUCAUAUACCCAAUUUGAGCAAUGUAUGAGAAGUUAUUAGCUAGUUUUGCCUAUGUGCUUUAAAAUAACGUUUUUAUAGUUAAUUCGCAUAUAGGUGAGACUUAUCCCGAGGACGAGCGUAUCCACGGGCGACUCGGGGGCUACAACCCUUCGACAUACCUGUGAGUGGGCUUUUUUUUUCAGUAUAUAUUUAUAUACUUGAUAUAUUUCCCAGAAAUGCAUUUUAAGGAAAGUAUGCUUUGAAAUAAUAUGUCAAAUGUUUUUAUAUUCUAAAUAUGCAUUUCAUGGUUGCAUAUAUAUAUAUAUAUAUAUAUAAAUGUGGUGCUGUGGAGGCACGGGUAAGUUCAGGUAAGUUAUGUUUGGCUAUGUGAAUCAUCGAUGAUGUGAUAUGUGAUUGAAUGAUGUUGAGGUCAUAAAACUGCACCUAGGGUGAUUGUGAUUUAGCCAGAGAUAUGAAGUACAAGCUUGUUUAUUUACGUCACCUCCCGCACUAAAUGCUCAUAUUGGAUCCAACUUAAGUGCACAGUCUUGUCGUACAAACCUUAUUUAUGGUUCCGACUCGUAGGUGACUAGCAAUUUAUCGCCCGGCUAUUAUGAGAGAGUAAAAUUGAGCAUAAUUAUAUUAACCCAAUCUUGUCGUACAGACCUUUAUAGGGGUUCCGACUUAUGUGUAGUAUAUUGCCGUAUAGGUCAUUGUAGUGACUCCAGCUAGAUUGAUUUUGAGCUAUGAAUUCAGCCGUACAGACUACCACAGAGGUUCCGGCUAACAUAUCAUAUUUCUAUGAAUUUAUUUUUAUCUGAAUUGCUUACUUUGUUAUAUAUUGGCAUGGUAUAUAUAUUUGAAUAUGAUUAUGUGAAGCAUGAAUUGAAUUGAUAUGAAUUCAUAUAUAUGUGUGUGUAUAUAUAUAUAUUAAUUAUGCAUAUGCUUAUAUUCUGAUUCUGGGAAAAAUUAUACAUGUUUUACAGCGAGGGGUUAGAUAUGUUGAUAAAGAAAAUGAUUUUGUAAUACAUUUGUUUUUGUCCACUCAUGUUUUCUGUUUUGUGCCCCUCCAGGUUUUAAGUAAGCUUGCUGUUGGUGGCUUGAGGACGUCGACAGUUCUGACUUAUCUAAAUAAUAGUAGGACAUUUCUGGUACUGUAUAACUAGUACUUAUCCUAUUAGGGGGCGUUUGUUUGACCGGAUUAAGGGGGACAGGACUAGACUAGACUAUAGUCCCUUGUUUGGUCUGAACAAGGAUUAAGUUUAAUGGGACUAAAGGGGACUCGCCCCGACUGAACGGUUCGCUAAACGUUCUUAAGGAGACCCCUCGAUUUCAAGUGGACUGGUAGUCCCGUUCUCUCCCCCGCCGCUGAUCCCUCAUCGUCUCCCUUCGCCUUCGCCCUCUCCCUUCUGAUUCGCACCUUCGCCCACUCCAUUGAGCCUUUACUAUCCCACCCAAACGCCUACACCCAGAAAAACAAUCCACUGAUUCCCUUCAUUUCUUCUUCGUUCAAUUCACUCUCUUUCUCAGCAAAAUCGUCAUGGUUGCAACCACCAGACGACCAUCACCAGAACCUUGUCGUCGAUCUCCGCGUUCGUGCGCGACCCAGAUGCAAGUCGGGACUGAAAGCGUACCAAAUGCCCAAGUACCAGUUGGGGUUUUCGUUUAUGGUGGGGAAGAAGCUGAGAAACUUGUGAAAUUUAGUAGAAAUUUGUGAAAUUUGGUAUUUGAAUUUUGUGAUCUGUGAGAAACUUGUAAAAUUUGGGCCUUAAGUUUUGUGAUUCAUGAGAAGCAGAGGUGGGGUUUGACGGGAAAAGAGGUAGAUGGAGAAGGAAGAGAGGUUUGACGGGAUGGAGAAGUGGGGUGAAAAAUGGUUACAGACAUUGUAGAAGUAAGAAGAAGAGAAUUCUAAAAAAAAAUUGGAAAAAGAUAAAGUAAUAGUAAUAUAUAAUAAAAUUUUAAUUAUAUAUAUAUAUAUUAAUUUAAUAUAAAAUAAUAUAAUAUUGCAGUCCUGCUUCUUAGUCCGACGCUGCACCAAACACUUCACUAAAUCAGUCCAGCUUAGUCUAGUCUAAGCCAGUCUAUCUUAGUCCCUGCAGCUAGUCCAGUCCAAGACAGUCCGGUGCAACAAACGCACCCUUAGACUGCACCUAGACUUUAUGCUCUGAUUAGGAGUGUUCAUUGUUGUAACUAACUCCUAUAACUUUCUGUUUAGUAGUGCACUCUAGUAAUUUGGUUUUUAAUUAUUCGUAUAUUUCUUAUCUUUAUUGCUUCCAUACUGUGCACAUGACUAUGCCACUCUCACGUGAUGACCAACGUACCUUGAUCUCGGUAGGGGUGUGUCACCGCAUCCAAAGUAUUCUUUUAUUCUAUGUCUCUAUUGCCACUGAAAAUAAAGCCAGGACUUUUAUAUGUAUACGAUAAAAACAAAAGAUAAGCAGAGCAUAUGAAAGUUAGCUCACAAGAAACAAGAGUAAUUUAUGUAAAAUAGAUUUAUUUGUUUUUGGCGUCUUGAUAUAAUUUUAUAGUAUCAUGUAAAGAAAAAAUAUGUAUCUAAUAAUAUAUUGUUACAUAAAAGACGUUAUAUAGAGUAUGCCUGUUUUAUGUUAGUCAUUUUAUUGUUUUUAUAGACAGGAGGAUGAACAGAAAUGUUAGAACUUUCGGGUACUAGAAUAAUUUGGGUAAAUGAAGUUACGUUCCAGGUGUUUGUUUUUUUUUUUUUCCUUUCUAAUCCACGUUCCAGGUGUCUAAAAAGCAAAUUGGCAUUGAGGAGAAAUUUUUAGGUGUUCCCGUCACCCCACAUCACCAUGGAUACUUGGUGUACCCAUCCAAUCAGGGGAUGCCACGUUUCCCAUUAAAAAAUCUUUAUUAUUUAUUUUUUAAGAAAAUCAAUUAAACAAACACUUUAAUGGGAAACGUGGCAUCCCCUGAUUGGAUGGGUACAUCAAGUGUGAUGGUGAUGUGGGGUGACGGGAACACCUAAAAUUUCUCGACACUGAGGAGACGAAAGGGAGAAUGCUUCACAAGUAAGCCACUUGAAGGGCAUUUUGGAACAUUAAAAUUGUGCAUCUUUUGGCCUUAUGAGUUUGAAAAGUGUAAACCCCGCAUGAGAACAAUACAUUUUUCAUUAUGAUCGGAAUACGAGUGAUACAUUUUGUGUUUUUAUAUAAGUGAUAAGAAAUUUUAUUUUUUUAAGUUAUUAACUUUUUAAUACACAGAUCCCACCAUUUGUAUAGUGACACAUGAUAUAUCAUCCCUUGUACCGGUCACAUUGAAAAUCUCUCACUUACGACUGCUCGUACAUGUCACAUUGUCGUAGUUCUGCAUGGCAAUUUCUUUCUCCUUUUUCGCGUAUAAAAUUAUUAGGAAACUAGAUUAUAAUCCCUAAAUAAGAUCUAUUUUCAUUAAAAUUGGGUGUAAGAUUAAAUACUGAUUUUGGUCAUUUGACUUUAUAUAUCACCUAAAAUCUAGCUAAUAAUUAUUAAUUUUUGUUUCGUUUUAUUUUUACUAUUAUAAAUAGAAUAUUUUUACUUAAUUUGUAUUCAAUAUGGGUACAAGAAUUGCUUAAGUGGUACAUAUGAACCUAUGUAUAUAUGUUGCCUAUAUAUAUGAACCUAUGUAUAUGCACCUAUAUGUACAUUUGUGUACCUAUACAUAUGAACCUAUGUGUAUAUGUGCUUAUAUAUAUGCACCUAUGUAUGUAUUCAUGUACCUUUAUAAUGUAUAUUGUUUAUUGUGUCUACAUAUUAAUUUAUUUGUUUCGUUUUGUGAUUGUCUGUAUAAAUUUUUAUAUAGUUUAAUUCUCAUUAGCAAAAUGAUUUAAAAAGUCUUUCAUUUUAAAUUACUAAAUUUGAUAUGUAGAAAUAAAAAUUUCUAUUUUUAAGGCCUUAUUGAUGAUUAAAUUAGGUAUUUUAGGAAAAAAAAUUUGAAAAUAAUAAAAGUGGGCAGGGGUAUUUAAUAUGAUUGAUAAUGAGUUUUAAAGUUAGGGACUAAAACUAGAUUUAUAAAAGCAUCCCGGUUAUAAUGAAAAAAAAAAAAAUCUUCUAUAGGUCCUUAAGUCUAAAUGUCACAGCCCGUCCCGGGAUUUUAUUUAUCGAGGACGUGAAAUGACGGGAUUGCCCUUAGUGGUUACUAAGGUAUGUGUGUGUGACAUAUUAUUGGACUAAAUACAUAUAUUCCUAAACUUAUGGAAAAAUAAUUUAAGUUGGAUUAAAGUUGGUGUGUAUGUUUUGUGUGGUUAGGGAUUUUAAGAAUUGGAUUGUGACUUGUUUUUGGGUGGACCACACACACACACACACAGGACAACCCUCUCCUUCCCCGUGCUCUCUCUCUCUCCUCUCCGUUUCAGUCUCUCUCUCCCUCUCGAAAUUGUACGGACAAAGCACCAAACCCUCGAACCUUCACGGAUCGACGCCAAAAAGGUAAGAUUCUUCAUCCUUUCAACCUCUUGAGUCGUUUGGUACUAGUUUUAGAACGGAAAACCUUAGAAAUCACGUUGAAAACCCGAGGUCCGAUUUGCGUAUUGUUCAUGCAUUCGUGAUGUGUUGAUUUUCAGGGAAUUCUAAGCUUAUAGUGAGCUUAGUGAGGUCCUAAGGAAGCUCGGAGUGCUUAGUUUGAAGGUUUUGGACGUCGCGAUCAUUGAGUUCGAAGUUGGCCGGCUUUCUUGGAAUUUCUCCGGUGAGAUUUCGUAGUUUUUAGAGCCUUAAAGUAGUGUAACGUGAUUCUACAUGCUUAGGGCUUCAUUUUGAUAUAAAAUACGUGAAAAAUGUUUGAGAAAUGACGGAGAACAAGGAGAUUGAAAAAUCUCCAGUUUUCCGGCGACCGGCGAACCAGUCCGGCGACUGGAGGUUAGGGGUGAUGCGCAUGGGGGCGCGUGGACCCAUACCCAUCCUGGCGCGUGGGGGCGCGUGCGGCCUCAGAAAUUUUUUCUAAAAAUAUGUCGACGUUCGUGACAUCGAGUAGGUCACUGUGGUAUAUUCAUAUACCUAAAUUGAGCACCGUAUGAGAAGUUAUUAUGAAUUGUCGGUUAUGUGCUUUAAAUAACGUUGUUUUAGUUGUUUCGCAUAUAGGUGAUACCUAUCCCGAGGACGAGCGCAUCCAGGGACGUCACGGGGGUUACGACCCUUCGACUUAUCAGUGAGUGGGCAAUUAUUUUAUGUAUUUACCUAUAUACUAUUGAUUUUCCCAGAAAUUGAAUUUAUAUGAAAGUAUGUUUUAAAAUGCCAUGCAUGCAUAUUGUGAAUUAUAUGAAUUGAUAAUUGAUGCAUAUAUAUAUAUGUGAAUUGGUGUUGUGGAUGCACAGGUGAGUAUCAGGUGAGUUUUAUGUUAUUCAUGUGAAUCAUUGAUGAUGUGAAUUGUGUUGACAGCUCAUAACCUGCACCCCUGGUGUUAGUGCUUAUAGUAUUCACCGCACCGCACGCUCACCUUGGAUCCAAGUAGGUGCAUGUCGUACAGACCAUGAGAGGGUUCCGACAUGCUAGUCGUAUAGAUCACUAGAGGUGGUUCCGACUGGUAGGUGACCUUAGAUUAUGCGCGCAAAUGAUUGAUGAGAGAAGCACUAGAGCGUAUUAUUUCACCAUUCUUGUCGUACAGACUACUUCAGGUAGUUCCGACUUAUGUGCAGAGUAGCGCCGUACAGGUCACCGUGGUGACUCCGGCUAGGUUGGAUAUUGAGCUAUAGAAUUAACCGUAUAGGACCAACUGCAAGGUCUCCGGUUGAUUCAUUAUGUCACCUGUUAUAUUGAUGCAUCCAUAUUCUGUCAUUGACAUUUAUAGCAUGGCAUACUUGCUGGAUUUUGAUAAAGAUUAAUGUUUUGAGAGAUUUGAACAAAUAGUAUGCUAUUAUGUUAUUUUCUGGGAAAGUAUACAGGUUUUACAGUGAGGGGUUAGGAAUGUUUUAAAUGAAAUGUUUUGGAAAACUUUGGUUUUACUGACUCACUCAGUUUUGUUUUGCGCCCCUCCAGGUUCUAGUUAGCAGUUGGUGGCUCACGAGGUUUUCUUCGGCGUUCUGACAGACUUCUUGCAUGUAGGACUCACCUGCGGGUGUUGUAAUUUAAUUAUAGUUCUACUUGACUGCACCUAGUAUUUCUGCUCUGAAAUUGUGUACUGCACACUUAAACUCACUCUAGCAUGCUAGUUGGAUAUUAUUGCUAGUAGUUGGUUUUUAUUCCUUCGUAUUUCUCAUAUCUUUUGCUUCCGCAUCGCACUUUUGGUUACGUCACGCUCACGUGACGGCCAGCACGCCUUGAUUCUAGGAUCAGGGUGUGUCACUAAAUGCCUCUAAAAUUAAACUUCUGAGUUGUGCAAUAACAUUAAUUAGUUAAAUAGUUAAUUGUUAGGAAAACAAGAAUUGAGGUUAAUUGAACUCUAUCAGAAUGUAUAAACGCUAGAGGAGCCAUAAUUUUAACUGGAGUCGUAAUUUUAACAACAAAAAAAACUUCAUUGAAUCCUUUCAUUGAGCUCUGGUGGGUACUUGCCAAGUUAUGCUACAUUUUAUAGCCCCAUCUAGUGAGGCAUUUACUGAACACAUCUUGUCUACCAUGUGGUUUCACACAAGAAGUAGGAGAAGAAAGACAAAGGAAAGACAUAAGAAAAUCUACAAAGAACUAUAAAUGGAGUCGCACAAAAGAAGCAGCAAGUUGUAAUUCAUUGUUUUUAACUCCCUUUAAUUCGUGUAUAGCUGUCAUAUAAAAAUAUACAGAUAUGUACUUUAGGAUUAUGAAACUAUUCAUGAGCAACCUAUGAUCCUAUGUUGACUCCUUCAUAAUGUAUACAUAUGUUUAUUUUUUGCUAUUACUAUAAAGCGCAAUAUGCUUGUUACAAUACUUAUCUUACAAAAAAAGUUUGAAUGUGGGAAAUCAGGGUAUACUUAUGUUUUUCAUUAGACUACUUUAUGUAGGUAAUGAUUAUUUGAAGACUUCUGCCAAAUCUUUCUAUUUACAUCAUUAAGGAAUUUAACUAAUAAUAUUACAUAUUGACCCAAGUGUAUAAUAAGUGUUCUAAAAAUGCUCUAGGCGUUGGUCGGUGUGGUACCAUUCCGAUUAGGUGCCAAUUGAUGGACAAAAAUGGGGAGGUGUUAGGCUCCCACCUUGACGCUCCUAGGCGACUUAGACAAUGUCUAGGAGGUGGUGCUAGGAGGACUCGCAUUUACCGUUCUAAUCACCUUCCACCUCCGGUCGCACCCACAUACCUCAAAUUUCCCAAAUAAAUUUGACGAUGAGAGAGAGAGAGAGAGAGAGAGAGAGAGAGAGAGAGAGAGAGAGAGAGAGGGAGGGGAGGGAUAGAGCUGUUGCAGGGAGGAAUGAAGGAGAGAAACGGCAGAUGAGAUUUAGAGUGAAAGGUGGGGUAGGAGCGGGUAAUGCAUGCCAGGGUUAGUGGGAUUUUCUUUAAUAAAAAGUUUAUGGACUGUUUUUCGAUGUAUAACAGGCCCAACUUCAAUUUUUAAAAUAAAUAAGGACCAAUAGUAAUUCCUGAUCUUAAAAAAACUCUAAAGUUUUAUAUAAUACUUAUAUUUUAUAAUAAAUAUUAAUUUUUGUAUGUUCUGUAUUUUAUUUUUUCAACAAGUAUGAUAUUUUUAUUGUAAACAUGCACUUAUUUAUAUAUUAUAUAAUAAAUUUAUUUUAAAAAUACAAAUUUGCCUAGUUCACCUAGACGCCUAGGCACUAGGCCUCAGUCUACCGCCCACUAGUACCUAGCAUAUUUUAGAAUCAUGUGUACAAUCGUACAAUUAAUAAUAUUUACAAUAGUCUCCGAGGAAGUGAAUGAUCAUUGUCCCAUUAAAAUUUCCGUUGGAAAAUUCAGUGGAUAACCAAAAUGGCAUGAAAAGAGAAUAACACAGUAUCAAACUUUAUAAAUAGGGCCGGCCCUGAGAUUUAUGGGGCCUCAUGCAACAGUGAAUUAGAGGCCCUAAAAUUGCGAAUUGUUGUGGCUUAUUUUAUCUAACAAGGAGAGAGAGGGGUGCGGCAGAGAGAUAAUGGAGAUGUAAUUCUAAGGUGUGUUAUUCACGCUAUGCAGUGCCUUUAUUAUACUAUGUUGAUGCACAAAACUAGAGGUCUUGGAACAACGUAAAUCUGAUCGUGAAUCUGCAAGAAAUGUAAAUAACACAAGAUGUAUCGUGGUUCACCCCAAGGUUUGGGCUACGUCCACACUGAUUAUUGUAUUUAUCUUAGAGGUGAAGGAGAGAACCUCUGAAUAUGAGAAGGGAUGUGAGAGGGGUGAGAAGGCUUCAGAAAUGGCCUCCUUAAUUGUGAGGGUGAGGAGUCCUUUUAUAGAAUAAGGGCUCCUCACUUAUUACAUAUUUGCCCAUUCCUUUAUUACAUAAUUACAUUUAAGUUCCUCGAGUAUUUGUACGAGAUCUAAAUACGGAGGCCUUAAAUAUGGUAUAAAUAGUAGUCCCCCAAGUCUUCAGUCAAGAGAGUCUUUUGGCUGGAGACUUGAAAUUCAGUCCAUGUGUGGGCCGAAGUAACUAGAUGUUGUCUUGGACUGAUGCUCGAUAUGAGGCGGUGCUCAAUCUAAAAUGAUGCUUUAUUAAAAGUAGCACAUGCUGCGAGGCUCGUGGCUUAUGUUGCCUUGGUUGGCUCGGCUUGUGGCGUUUAAGGUGAGGGAGUCUCUUUUAUAGAAUAAGGGCUCGCUCCUCAAUACAUAAAUGAUGGGCUAGAGUUGAUGUUCUCUAAUGAUGGUGAGGGAGUCCCUUUUAUAGAAUAAGGGCUCGCUCCUCAAUACAUAAAUAUGGGCUAGAGUUGAUGCUCUCUAAUGGUGGUGAGGGAGUCCCUUUUAUAUAAUAAGGGCUCGCUCCUCAAUACAUGAAUGAUGGGCUAGAGUUCCCCAAGUAUUUUUCAUGAGGCCCAGUUGAGGCCCAAUAUAUGGUACAUAAUGUAGUCCCCCAAGUCUUCGGUCAAUAGAGUCUGUUGGCUGGAGACUUUAAAUUGAAUCCAUGUAUGGGCCGAAGUGGCAGUUGUUCGGAGGCGGUAUUUGUAUACCCUGCACUGAAGCUGGAGCUUUGUAAAUAAAGCUUUUGAAGCUAGAGCUUUGUAAAUGAAACUUUUGAAGCUAGAACUCUGUAAAUGAAGCUUUUGAAGCUAGAGCUUUUGUAAAUGAAGCUUUUGAAGCUUUUGAAGCUAGAGCUUUUGUAAAUGAAGCUUUUGAAGCUAGAACUCUGUAAAUGAAGCUUUUGAAGCUAGAGCUUUUGUAAAUGAAGCUUUUAAAGCUGAUUAACAUGAGUGAUACUCAUGAAUGUUUAUGUUAAGUGAUGCUCAUGGAUGUUGACAUGAGUGAUGCUCAUGGAUGUUGACAUUAGUGAUGCUCAUGAAUGUUUAUGUAUGAUUUAUAUGAGUAAUGCUUAUGAAUGUUUAUGUAUGAUUGACAUGAGUAAUGCUCAUGUAUAAUUUGGGAGUACUGGACGUGCUUUUGAUCACUUGGUUGGUGGUAAUAGUGGCAGGUUGCUGAAUAGUUUUAGAGUACUAGGCAUACUUUUGAUCACCUGGUUGGUGGUAAUAGCGGCAGAUUGCCAAAUAAUUAUGGAGUACUGGACUGGGCGUACUUUUGAUCACCUGGUUGGUGGUAAUAGCGGCAGGUUGUCGAAUAAUUGUGGAGUACUGGGCAUACUUUUGAUAGCCUGGUUGGAGCUAUUUUGGGCUUAUGGGCCUUCGCCCUCCACAUAACAUUCCAGCCCAUUUAUUUUGGGCUUUGUUUUUUUUUUUUUUUUACCCUAUGAUGGGGUUUAUACAGAUGCCUCCAAAAGAUAAGAAAAAUAAAUUACAUCGCUUUAAAGUAAGGAACCCUUAUCUUCUUCCUAGGUCUUCCCGUAGUUUUCUCAGAAAAUAGGAACAUGCAUGAUGAAAGUGUGGGCAUCUUUUUUGGUUUUAGUAAGAUCUCCCUUUUUCUUUUUCUUUUUUCUUUUGCAUUGUCCGCCAUGUGCUCCCACAUGAUUCUCCCUUUUUCUUUUUCUUUUUCUUUUGCGUUGUUCGCCAUGUGCUCCCCCAUGAUUCUCCCUUCUAUUCAAAUGAUUCUCCUUGCUAGCCUCCACAUGCACUCUCAUCUCGUUCACGUGCAGCUCCCCACCUUCAGUCCUCUGCCCGAGGUGGGUAAUGGUGACGGUCUUAUGCUCAUCUCUCUGGUGGUCUGACGGGCAGAUCUGUGGUUAAUUCAAAACGGUUUUUUGCUUCUUGCAAUAUCUGGGCAAGAUCUAGAUGCUGAUUGGGGUUGUAUCUCCUAGUAUCAGCCAUGACGAGCUCGCAUAAACCUAUGAACUUCAACUGAAAAGCCAUAUCUUCACAGGAGCGGGAACGCGAGCGGGAGUGGGAGGAUGAGCCAGAUGUGGAGCUUGACGGCGAGCGAUGGGCUCGAGUUAGCUUCGCCAUGGCAGACAAAGACGGAAAUGGCAGGGAAGGUCUCCCACCACCGUCUCCCCCGUCAAAACCGCUAUCGACGGCAAGAUCCACCAUUUUUCUUUUGAAUAAGAAACUGGGUAUUUUUGCAAGUCUGACAGUGCUUGAUUGGAUCGAAUGAUUUGGUGGAGGUCAGUGUCCAUAAGCUCAUACGCAAUGUAAACAUCAUUGAAUGAGUUCCUCUACGGUGAAGGGAUUAUAUCCCGAUGCAACAACAUUAUCAUGAUCCAUAUGCCGCAGCAGUUUAAUCUCCCUCAGCGUUCUAUUCGCAUCGAUCCUGUUGUCGAAUGCAUUCGCAAUCUUCUUUAUUGCAACAUGCUCGUUCGUCUCUGAAUUCAAAGCUGAGCAAACGAUGUCGUAUGCACCUUUACCGAUGUGCAUGAUGGAGGACUUAUACUUGGCGGUGACCUCGAAGAUAUUGCCGAAGGUGUUGUACUGGAUGAAUCGGCCGCCGCGGCUGAGGGUGGCCGGAAUGCUCUCCACUCCCCCUCAUGGCCUGAUGCGACGGUGGCAGAUGUUACUGUGAGUGGUUGAGGUCCGAAUACGACAGUGGUGCCGCCUCCGACAUCACAGUGUCCGCUAAUUGCGCUACAGGUCAUCCUCCCUCCAUUUUUGAAUCGAUUCUCUUUCUCUGCUUUAUGUCGUUGGGUUGGUUGUAGUAAAUGGCAGUUCAGAAGCUCAGGCUCUGAGCCCUAAUUAGUAAACAAGAACAAGAAAGGAAAGAAUAGGAGAGAGAGAGUUUUUUUCCAAUCUGGAGUUUUUAGAGAGAGAAAGUCAGAAGGAGAGAGAGAUGGGACUGAAGCAGGAAGUGAGUCAGCUGAUUUUAUGUUUGUGGGGGACUUGUUUAUUGGGUUUUUGUGUUUGUGGGGAUUUUCUGGAAAAACCUAAGGAUGUUUUCUGCAGAUUUUGUAGUGUUGAUUUUGUAGAUUUUGCAGAUUUUGCGAUGAAGGUGAAAAAAUGAAAGAGAACUGACAUAGUUUUUUGUGUCGAUUCCCACAGACGGCGCCAAAUGUUGAUGCACAAAACCGGAGGUUUUGGAACAACGUAAAUUCGACUGUAAUCUGCAAGAAAUGUAAAUAACACAAGAUGUAUCGUGGUUCACCCCAAGGUUUGGGCUACGUCCACACUGAUUAUUGUAUUUAUCUGAGAGGUAAGGGAGAGAACCUCUGAAUAUAAGAGGGGAUGUGAGAGGGGUGAGAAGGCUUCAGAAAUGGCCUCCUCAAUUGUGAGGGUGAGGAGUCCUUUUAUAGAAUAAGGGCUCCUCACUUAUUACAUAUUUGCCCCUUCCUUUAUUACAUAAUUACAUUUAAGUCUCUCGAGUAUUUGUACAAGAUCUAAAUACGAAGGCCAUAAAUAUGGUAUAAACAUGGUAAAUAAGGGAGAAGAAGAAUCCUUGUCCUCCAAGGAAAUACAGUCCUAAUAGGGAGAUAAUAAAUAGUAAUAAAAAUUAUCUAGAAUUUACAAAAUCACACUUUAAUAUAAUAUCUAUAACACUCCCCUUGAGUGUAUAAAUACUCAAGUAGAUUUGUCACCAGGUAGAGUUAAGGAAGUUAACUCGUCAACACUAAUUCUUGGAACACGGUAAUCUCAAACAAAGGAACUUGCAUAUGGAACUAAGUCUCACAAAAACUCAAUGGCUAUGGUAAAACCCGAGGUGGGACAAAAGCCCAUAGUUGAAGGAAAAAUGCGUGAGAAAGUGCAAAGUCAAAUGAAAUAUGUAUGGGACUUACAUCAGGGAUAUGACCAACCCAACAUGAGUGCCUCAUCAAAACCUCGUUAAGUAGCAAAAACCCAAAGGGAAAAAUGCUCUUAAUCAUAGGAAAGAGUACAUUAAGCUCAAGUGAAUAUACUUUGGAAUACUCUCCUUGAGUUUGACAUAAUUCCAAAGAGAACUAACAAUGUUACAACUCAGAAAGUUUAAGCAUACCUAUUCCCUGAACAAGCUUCUGAAACGUCAUCUUCGGUAGUGAUUUAGUGAAAAGGUCGGUCAAGUUGUCUUGAGAACGAAUUUGCAUGAAUUCAAUCUUCUAAUGCUUUUAUUGUUGAUGUGAGAAUAAGAACUUUGGCACAAUGUGUUUGGUCUUGUCUCCUUUGAUGUAACACUUCUUGAGCUGUUCGAUGCAUGCUGCUUUAUCUUCAUAGAUCGUCGUAAGGAUGUCAACGACUGGAAGAAGAUCACAAAUGUUUCAAAUAUGGCCCACAACUGCUCUCAAACAGAUGCAUUACCGAGUAGAUUCAUGCAAGACAAGUAUUUCAACAUGGUUCGAAAAAGUGGUAACUAAGGUCUGUUUGGUUAACCUCCAAGAUAUUGCGAUGCCUUCAACAGUAAAGGUGUAACCCGUUUAAGGAUGCGCCUUCUACGGGUCAAAUAAGUACUUACGUCAGCAUAACCAACAAGGUAGGAAUCGACUCGAGAACCAAGAGGGAUUGUGGCACUUAUAGAGGAUUCAUAAGGAAAGAACAAGCUGAAAUUCGUCGUACCCUUAAGGUAGCGGAAACUAUCUUUAGCACCAGUUUAGUGUCUACAUGUCAGUGCAUUAUUGUACCUUGCCAAAAGAUUAACAGCAAAAUAGAUGUCGGGUCUAGUGCAUUGAGCUAAGUACAAUAAACCACCUAUUGCACUUAGAUAAGGAACUUCAGGUUCCAAAAUCUCUUUUUUGUCAUCCAUCAGACGAAAGGGAUCUCGUUUUGCAUCUAGCGAUCGAACGACCAUAUGAGUACUAGAAAGCUUCACUUUAUCCUCCUUAAAACGGCGCAACACCUUUCGGGUGUAGUUCGAUUGAUGUACAAGGAUUCCAUCUGAAGAAUGUUCUAUCUCAAGACCAAGACAAUAUCAAGUUUUCCUAAAAUCUUUCAUCUAAAAUUCCGACUUCAGGUGCACGGUAAUUUUCUCAAGCUCUUCAAGAGUCCAGAUGAGAUUCAUGUCGUCGACAUAAAUUGAAACAAUCACAAAACCAGAAUGUGACUUCUUAAUGGACACGAAUAGGCAUAGUUCGUUAUUCACACUAAUCAAAUACUCACUUAAACGGUUACAACACAUCUGCACGGCUUGCUUCAAACGGUAGAGUGAACACUUCAGUCGAAUGAAGAGUGUGUUUUGUGUGUUAGAACUAUUUGCACCAGUCAAUGUAAGUCCUUCAGGAACUUUCAUAUAGAUUUCCAUAUCAAGAUCCCCAUAGAGAUGCGCGGUUACCAUGUCCAUAAGCUGCAUAUCCUAUUUUUUAGAAACUACCAAACUGAUAAGGUAACGAAAAGUAAUCACAUCCAUAAUGGGUGAAUAAGUUUUUGUCAUAGUCAAUCCCAGGACUUUGAGAGAAACCUUCCGAAACAAGAUGAGCUUUGUAACACACAAUUUUGUUAUUCUUAUUAUGCUUCUGAACCAAAACCCACUUGUAGCCAAUAAGCUUCAUAUGUGGAGGAGUAGGAGCUAUAUGCCCAAACACCUUACGUUUCACAAGCGAAUCGAGUUUGAUUGGGAUUACUUGUUUCCAGUUUGACCAAUCAGUUAUAUGUUGACAUUUAUCAACGGAACGAGGUUCAAUGUCAUUUCUCAACAUAAUCUUAGUAAUUACUGCAUAUACUAAUGCAUCGUUGAUUAUCAUCUCAUUUCUACAUCAAACAUCAUCCAAGCUAGCAUAGUGGACCGAAAUCUCACGAUUCUCGGGAGGAAGAUUCAUUUUUUCCAGGACGUUUCCAUAAUCUAGAAUUUCCUCAUGCGUUGCAUAGAAUGAGUAGGCAUUGGUUGGAUUCACGGUAGGCUCAACAUCCUAUGUCGUGGGUUUCUUCUUCCGGAGUUGUGAAUCCUUUGAACCAAGAGGUCUGUCAUGUUUAUGGGUAAGAGCAAAGGAUUAGCUAGCCGCCAAUUACGUGGAUUGGUCAAAGUGACAUCCUAGGCCUCUAAGAGGGAAUUUCGUCAUACAUUUGGUACAUCUAUCUUUGCAAGCAUAGGCACAUUCGAGUUUGUAUAUGUGAUCUCAUCAUUCUCGCUAAAUCAGUGCUUUCUAGCAUACUCUAAGCUAUGCUCUGAACAUCUAGUAUGCGUCACACUUCAGUCUCAGACUGGGCAGUGCAGGGAUCCAAAUGAGACAAAGUGGGAGUUGUCCAUGAUGAAUCGCGUCGUUCUUUAGGAACGUGUAGGUUUUUAUCUCUUCUUAACGAUAAGAAAACUGUCUCAUAUAAGUAACAAUCUGUGAAACGAGCGGUAAAGAGAUCACAUGUCAAAGGUUCUAAGUAACGAAUAUAGAAGGAGAACCAUAAACAACAUAGAUUCUCAUCCUUAUCUGAGGAUCCAUUUUAGUAUGUAAAGGAGACGCAAUCGGUACAUAAAUCGCACAACUAAAAAUGCAUAGAUGUGAUAUGUCGGGUUCGUAUCAAGUAACCAACUAAAGGGUGUUAUAUGGUUAGGACGCAAUGGGCCUCAGGCGAACCAACAUGGUUGCGUGCAACAUUGCAUGGCCCCAAGCAGCGAUCAGGAGCUUAGUGACCAAUGAUUGAGCAAUCAUUUGUAAGUUCUUAAUGAAUGCCUUUGCCAAGCCAUUCUGGGUAUAAACAUGGGGUACUGGAUGUUCAACUUUAAACACAACUAACUUGAAAUAGUCAUCGAAAGUUUUUUAUUAUGAAUUCUCCAGCAUUAUCCAAUCGAAUAGAUUUGAUUGGAUAAUCAGGGUGGUGAGUCCUAAGCUUGAUAAUCUGAGCCAAAAGUUUGAAGAAAGAAACGUUUGUUGUGGACAACAAGCAUAGGUGUGACCAAAUGUAUGGAAGUGUCAACCAAUACCAUAAAGUAUCUAAAUGGUCUGCAGGGAGGUUGAAUCGGUCCACUAAAAUCCCCCCGAAUCCUUUGUAGAAAAAUAGGAGGAUUUGAACGAAUCUUAUCAUAAGAAGGCUUAAUGAUAAGCUUUCCCAUGAAGCAAGUUUGGCAUGCGAUAUCUUCUUGAAUCGAACCUUAACUUCGGGUUAAGGAUGCUUGUGUGAAGAUUUGAGGAUACAGUGCAUCACUAAUCAUUCAGGGUGUCCCAAACGAUCAUGCCAAAGUGUAAUUUCGUGUGUAGCCCCUGAGGUAGGCCCACUACAUAGUGGCUUUCUAUGGGGCGUAUAGUUGUUGUAUACAGACCACUCGGAAUAUGUUUCAUCUUCUCUAGAAUACGCUUCUGGCCAUAUUCAUAAGAAGUGCUGUAAAAAUUUAAUUAUGUUUUCUACAUAGGUUUCAGCAUGGUAGUUAUUGUCUCGAAUGUCUUAAAGCUCAACAACGUUCUUCUAGAACGUGAAGAAUAAAGUGCAUCUUGAAUGGUCAAAAUAAUAUCAUUGGACAACAUUAUACGAGCCUUACCAUAUCCUUUGAUCAGGCUAGAUGAACCUAAGAGGAUUGUCAGAUGUGCAUUCUUAAGUAAGAAGUUAAUGAAAUAGAUAAGUUCACAAAAAACAUUGUGUGUGGUUGCACUAUGUACUAGACAACUAACUUUCCUACUAGUCAUACCUAGAAACAAAAUUAAUUGAAUUGUUCACAUGCAUAAAAGUUCUAAAAACAUAUAUUCAUUUAAUUAACUAAGUAUUUGAGAAAGGUAACUCAUAAACUUAAUAUCCAAAAUUAAAACAAAUCACCAACAAAUAAUCCAAUCAUAAAGGAAAAUUGUUCAAUAAUUAAUCCAAAAAACAAAGGGGGUUCAGCCACUUAGUGGAAUUCGACCCUAGGGGUCUAAAAUUCAAUGAAAAAAAUGGCAAUGUCUAAUAUUCUAAUUUUCCAUAGAGGUAAUGACUUCCUGAAAAUCAAAAACCUCCAUUUUUGUAUCCCCCUGUUCCUCCACUUGAACAAAGUUUGAUUCAAACUUCUUACGACAAGAAUGAUAAUCAGCUACAACCUUCAAGAAGCGCGGAAAACAUGGGACCAAUGGUCCUUUGAUCCACAGUUGUAAUACCCUGAACAUUUAAAUAUAUGAAUUAGAUAUUCAUAAUUAUGAAAAUGUGGAGAAAAUCGAAAAUAAAUCGAUAUAUAGUUAUGAAAAUUUAAUUGAGAAAUUUUUAAAAUUUUGUUACUGGAAAUUAUUAUAAUUUACGUCGUAAAAUUUAUCGAUAAGUGAAAAAGAUGAAAAUGCCCCUAGUUGGUCUAACGUAAUUAUAUGAGGACGUAUUUUAUACUAAUUUAUUUGAAUUUAGAUUUUAAUUAAACUAGUUACGAUGUUUGAAGUGUGGAAACUAAUUAUCUAAAAUCCAUAUACCAUUCGAUGUCACAAUUUAUAUUUUUUUAUCGAGCUCGAUCUCAAGAACACAUAGGCGUAAACCGAGGAGUUAUUAACAUUUAAAAUCAGGGAUAUUUUUAUAAUUUUAACCUUCUCUAGAAAGCUCUAGAUUUUCUAGAGCACUGAGAUUAUGCCACGUGUGUGGCUGGGAUGAAAGGAAAAGAAGAGAAAGGAGAGAGAUGGAUAGCUGAGAUGGAAAUGAGAGGACAGAAAAGGAGAAAUGGGGGGAACAAAUAGGCCAAUUAGAAGGGGGGAGAGAAUAGAAGUGACAAAUCAGAAAAGGAAGAAAGGAGGGAAAGGACGAAAAAAAAAAAAGGGGAAGAAACCGACCAGCGGGAAACAUGGAAACCGGUGGUUUCUUGGCCACUUUCUGGUGAAUUAUGCCAAGACAACACUUGAGAAAUACCAAACGGCUCCCCCUCUACCAAUUCCACCCAAAAAUUUAGGAAAAUUGGCCUUGAAAUUAGGAAAACCCGCAUCGGUGGGUGCGAGGGUUAUUUGCCAAAAUCCACCAUUUCUGAAGCAUUCUCUUCCAAUUCCCACCACCAUUAGACUCCUUUUGAGGCCUGGAACAAAGCUCAAACAAUAGUAGGUGCGGCGGAGCACCGGAGGUGACGGAUCGAAGCCACCAAUUUCUAGGGUUUCCAGUGGGUUUGAGAUGAAUUGGAGAUUUUCCUAGCAAAAUUUGCCAUAGUCACAUGUAUAAAACUUGCUCCACUCACUUAGAUCUACUUGCCUGUAAAAUUCGGUAAUUUUUGGAGUUCGUUGGAAAAUUUGAUUUUCUUUCGCCGAAAACCACCUCUUGCGGCGGCACGUGGCCAGUGGGCCGAUGCUACCUAGUCAUGAAAAUUUUGAUAUUUUAAAAUCCUUAAUUGGUACCCAUGUGAGGUGAUUCGAUUGUGAAAGCUAAUGUUGAAUAUUUUCAUUACUAGAAUAUUUUCGAAAAUGGAUAAAAGAAUGAAUGGUGAACUACAAAAGGUUUGAUCUCGUUCAAGUGUACGUAGGCAGUCUAACGGGAGUUAGAUGCAGCCUUGAAAUAACCAAGAUUAAUCUUUUGUUGAAAAUUGUCUAAGAAAAAGGAUUGGGUGUUUAGUUUAAAGAUUAACCUUAUGUUUUUGGUAAAUAAAUUUAGCUAUAGAUUUUGUGAGAAAUUAAGAAUUUAUUAAAUAAAUUGUGAUCCUUAAUUAAAUAAACGAAUUGUGAUAAAUGGUAGAAAAUAAACAAGAGUUUAAUUUGGGCCUAUCAUAGUAAUUAUCUUCCGAAAUAAAUUUUUCGGGUCGGGGCGUUACAAAUGGUAUCAGAGCAAAUGAUCUUACUUUACAAUGUGAGUUAUUAUUGAUGUUUAUGGAUGUGAAAUUGUGAAUUGCAUUGAUAUUGCAUUAUUUUAUAAGUUCUAUGAUUAAUGAAGAAUUUAUGUGGAAUGCCUCUAUUGUGAUUCACCAUGAAGUGAAUUGAAUUGGAUGGGAGUAGAAAAUUUUUAAAAUGUCAUAUUUAAUGUCAUAGCUUCAAAGAGGAGAGCUUGAUUAAAGUAUCGAACUAAUCUGGAAUUGGGUUGAUAUUAUGCUAUGCGUUAGGAAAAUUUUGAACGUUAAGAUGAUUGUGAAAUUGUGACAAGUAGAUGGGAAAGUCGUAUUAUACUUGGGUAAUUGAGGAAUGUUGAUGUUGGAAAUAUGCCCUCAAAGUCAAUCUUUGGAAGAAACCUUUCAGGACAAAUGAAUGGAUGUAUAGAUGACUAUUAUACAUCAAAUGGCAAAGAUACUGAUUAGGACUAUCUCAAUGAACGAUAUAUGUCCUAAAUAGUGAAUCCAUGGACAAUGGAUCGAUUGAAGAAGUAAUCUAAUGAUGUUAGACUACAGAGACCUUCUUCACAUAACCGUCAUGUCCAAAAGGUUCCUGGUCAUAGGAUUGUCGGAGGGAAACUGACAAUGCAUAGACCGGUACAUACUAUGUCCGCUUCAAUUGGAAGGAUGGAAAGUCUCAUCCCAUUCGUGUAGUGACACUAAGACAAGUAUGUAGGUGCUCAUUAAGGGAAUGAGUUCACUGAACACAAUCGAACGAGAGUACUUGCAUGGAGGUCUACUCACAUGUCAAGCAAGUAACUCUUAUGGUUGGAAUAAUGUAAGUAGUCCUUUGACCUGAAGCAUCAUCGUUGUCUUGUGGUUAAGUACUUGAUCUUUGAUUAUGUUAAAGUCACCCCAUUCGCGGGUGUCCACGGCAUAGUUGGGGUUAAGCCACUUAGUCAUGAAGGCAAGUGAAUGCGCAACAAGGAAUCUCUAAUCUUCGUUAAGAGAGGAAGAAUACUCUAAGAUAUGAUUCGGGAAUCUUCGGCCGAAGUAUCAAGCGUAAUAAAGGAAAGCGUUCCUGUACGACUCAAUUGAAUCAUAUAAGAAGGAAUAAUCACAUUAGGAGUUUGACAUAAUAUAUCCAUACCCUAGUGAUGUGAUUGAGAGUAUUGUUUUAGAGAAGGAUUGAAUUACAUUGUAAUUCCAACUGAAUAGGUUCUCCGAACAAAUUCUACAUUAGCUUGGGUAGCCAUGAUAUAUGGUUAGAUGUCACUCAUGGCUUGUGAGUUCUUCUAGAUGAUUAAAUGUAGUAGUCAAAGAAGAAGGUGAAUUAAAAGUAAGUUUUAAUUCACUACGUGAUUGGAUUAAAUAUAAUCAAUUGGAUUGAUGCCAAUCACCUCACUGCCUUGCUAAUUAGAACCUAAAAUGAUUAUUCACCAAUACACUCUUGUAGUGAGUAAUUAAUGGAUGAUGGAAAUAAUUAAUUGGAUUAAUUAAGUGUUGUGAUUAAUUAGAAAGUCUAAAGAAAUCAUAAAAGCGAUAUAAGAUCGUUUUGGGCUUAAAGAAACGUUCGGGUUUAAUUGGGCCCAUUGGGCCUAAACCCAUUGGGCUUUUAUUCAAGCAUUGGAUGACUUGAAAUAAAUAAAAGCCCAAAGCCCAAACAACACUAAGGGGGCCGGCCAUAUAGAGUGAAAGAGGGAGAGAAAGGUCAAAUGUUGACUUGUUUCUUUUUGGCUAUAUAAGGAACUUUAUAGCAUAUAUUUUCAUUAGGGUUUUUGAAGUGUUGAAAGAACAAAAGGAGAAAAGAAAAAUUAUCUCUCUAACACUUACAAAGGCCGGCCACCAUAAGGGUGAUUUUAACUAAUCAUCUUCUCACCCUUUUGGUUAUUCCUUCAUCCUUCUCACUACACUAGUGGGUGAGGAUCUUUAGAGGUUUUCAACUUUGGAAACUUGAAGAGAACCUAGGAGCACUCAUUCUAACAAAGUGGAGGAGGCAAGGAAGGAGGCUAGGCUCAAGGACUUCAAGGAGCAAAGGUCUUGGAGGUGGUCCAUCCUUGGUCUAAGAUCUAGAUCAAGAGGUAUAAUACUACUCCUAAACUUUGUCCUUAAGUAAAUUUGUUUUUUAUGCAUCUUACAUAAACCUAUGAACCUUGAAGGGGAUUUACAUGACUAGAGCUUUGAUAUUAUUUGUUAAAAUGCUUCCGUUGCUUUCGUAUAUAAAUUUUGAAUUGUAUAUGCAUGCUAGUCACUAGAAAUCCCAAUAUGAAAUCUCAUAAAUUUCCCUUCAAGUGGUAUCAGAGCCAAAGGUUUAUGUAUGAUGUGUCCUUUUGGAUUUUAUGCAUAUGGGUUUUAAUAUUUUGUAUGACAUGAUUAUUUCUUCAUUCAAAGUAUGUUUAUCUUUUGUUUUUCAAUAGUUGAAAAAUGUGAAUCAAUAGUUGAAAAGAUAUGUAUGCAAAAGGGUUUUGGAUGCAUGAAUGAAGAUUGAGUUUAGAACUAAAAUUUGGGGUUUUUAUUCCAAAAGGGAGGGCACAGUUUUGGGGGUGGUUUUGGGUUGUGUUUGUGUUUUAUUGUAAACCACUCUCACAUCCUUUUAAAGCUAGAAAAAAGUGUUCUUGUCACUUUUGUUUUUGGGUUUGAAAAAUCACCAAGAAUAUACAAAUCUUGAAAAUGUGUUCAUGGUUUUGUUCUUGGUGUUCAUGGUUUGGUUUUGGUGAAAAUGGUAUUAUUUGGCUUUCAUGCAUUGUUUUGUGGUUUUGGAUGAUGAACAUACCAUCCAUAGCCAUAUCAAAAAUUUAUUAAAUCCUAGACUUGACUAGGAGAAUUUCCAUCACCUUUUUCACUUAAGUCUUCAAAGCAAAACCAAGUGACAAGCAAAAUUUAAUUUUUUCUACAUAAUGUUGUUUUAAUGCUUGUUGUGUAAGAAUGUGUAAGAGACUUCCCAUCUCCCCUUAAUGUGGCCGGCCUCCCCUAGUGGAUUACCCACUUGUAGGGCUAUUUUGUAAUCUUUGAAAAGUUGAUAUUUAUACUUUCAAGUAUUUAUGUUUUGACCCCUAACUUUUGAUAUUUGCAUAAUAGUCCCCAUCCAUCUAAAAAUUUAAAAUAUUUGAUUUUAAUUUUAUUGGUUGUUUAAACUCAUAAUACUAUUAUGCCCAUAUGCACUAAAUCUAAAUGUUUAUGUUGCAUUCCAUUUAAUUAUUUAAUGUGAUUAAGUAGUUAGAAAAUGGGUGACUAUGGACUUAUGCCUUAAACGAUAAUUGAGCUAUAAGAUAAGGCGCUAAAAUCAAAUUGUUUGAACCUUGGGAAUGUGCUUUAAUUACUGUUUUAAUUGGACCUUGUCACCUUUGACAUUAAUCUAUCUCUCCCUCUUAGUAUAUGUAAUUUGUAGGAAUUUGUACAAAACGGUUUGUAAUUCUUAUUACUCCUUAAUCUCUUUUAGUUAGUUGAUUCCCUCUAGUACUAGACUAGAGUUUCUUUAACUAUUGGUAAGGAGACAUAACUAAAAGAGGGUUUUGACAUGAGAUUAAAGAUUAAAUGGGUCCAAGCAAUGAAUGAUUGUCUUUCAUUUCUAAUGGCUCAAUGAAAAUGUUUUAAUUGGAUUGAAAAGCACGUAAUUAAAUUGACUCAACCUCCCCGAGUUUAUAUUCAACAAUGUUGGCUCGUUGUUGCAAUAACCUAAUAAGUCCAUGGUCAUCCAAGAGCCUAAGAUAGCUAUAAAGUCCAAUUUCAAAGGAAUGCAAAAACCAUAGUAGUAAUAGUUACUUCCAAUAUUUGAAAAAUUCGUUUUUGAUAUUGAUUUGUUUUUCUCAAAACAAAUAAUGGGAGUAUCAUACGCUACUAAAUUAUAAAUGAAUACAAUUAGUAGUUAUAUAUAUCUCCAAUAUUUUGAAAAUUGUUUUGAUAUUGAUUUGUUUUAUGAAAACGAAUAAUGGGGAUAUCAUAUGCUACUAAUUUCAUUAACUUUGGACUAGUAGUUAUAAUAGGACAAUUUAUUUGAAUGUGAUUAAAUAAAUAAAAUUGAUGAGACCUAAAAAUCCCUCAACCAACAUACAAUAUUAAGUUGAAAGCGUAAGAGUGCUUUGAACACUUUUUCGUGGCCUUCCACCGUGGUAGGCUCCAAGCGUUUAUGACUUGUACACCGCCUUCACCCUAUCAUGGGGGAGUGCAAAGUGCAUGCUUAUAUUCAGGAGGAGUUUAUUUAAAACAUUUGAUGAGGUUAAGGUAGGCAACGAGUGUGGCCAACAUCGUAUCAUCGUGAGGUCAUACUUGAACCCCUAGCUAAACCGGCAUGGUGGGAAAGAACUUAACUAAGAGAAAUGAUGCCAACAUCGUAUCAUCGUGAGGCAUUGUUUUCUAAAGGCCAAAAAGAUGGGUAAUCACAAGAGGUUGUUGUGAAUGGGUACUUGUACCCUCUCAUUAUUAUUUUUGCUAGCCGACAUCGUAUCAUUGUGAGGUGGGCUUGGUAAUAGUGAGCCUCCCAUAACCCGCUAGGAGUUUUCUUUGAAAUCUCCCGGAUUCCAUCUUGAGGGAUAUGGAAUUUGCCAAAAAUGGUGGGUGGUGUCAUUCGGU